CCAAGGUUCGCCGUCGCGGAUCUCGGUCGCGUCGCGGUCUCGGUUGUUCCACAUCCGUCGCGGCAUAUCGGAUGAAUAUCGGGUGAUACAUACAUUAUAGUAUAUAAAAAUUUUCAAAAAAUCUGAAAAAAUUACUAAAAAUAGAAAAUAUCAUAAAAAGCACAAUUAUCAACUUAAAUUUACUAAAUACCUACAUUAUCAUAUAUAGUUACUAAUUAUUAAAUAAAAUAAUGCUGUCAUUACCAUAAGGGCCUAUAGCAUUAGCAAUAAAAAAUUUGCAUUAUUUAGAUAAUAAUAAAAAAUUUUAUUAUCUAAAUAUAUUAAAUUUUUUCUAAUCAAGUUUAAUUAUGCAAGGUAAUUUGCAUUAUUUCGAUAAUAAUAAUUUUUUUAUUAUCUAAAUAUAUUGAAUUUUUUCUAAUCAAGUUUAAUUAUGCAAGGUAAUAUGCAUUAUUUAGAUAAGAAUAAAAUUAUUUUUUUAUUAUCUAAAUAUAUUACAUUUUUUCUAAUCAAGUUUAAUUAUGCAAGGUAAUUUGCAUUAUUUCGAUAAUAAUAAAAUUUUUUUAUUAUCUAAAUAUAUUAAAUUUUUUCUAAUCAAGUUUAAUUAUGCAAGGUAAUUUAUACUUUGACAAUUUGCCCAAUUCAAUUUUUUGUUUAACUAACUGCAACAAACUCUUUUUUUUUUUUUUUACUUUUUCUAAUUAAUUUACCUAAAAUCAUUUUAACCAACAUAAUUGAGAUACAUGAAAAUAAAUAAAUUACAUUUAUGAUCAUUAAAAUGUAUCCAAAUAAUCACUACAUAUUUUCUAACUAAAAUUUAGAUAAGAGACUACUAAUACAAAUUAAUCAUAUACUUAAUAAUAUGUAAAAAGUGUCAAAAUGCAUUACUUAAAUUUACAAAUAUCUAAAUAUCAUGUCUGAAUGCUAAGUUAAAAAAAUUAAAAUUGAUAAGUUAUUUUGAAAAAAGAUACGGACCUUUUGACUGAUGCUUGGAUUUAAGAUUAGGAACCUAAUCUCUUAAUUACUUGGGCCAAAGCUGGACUUUACAUGCUUCUAAUUUUCCUUCAAUUUUUUUCCCUAUGGCUGGGUUCGGUACAAAAGCCCAUCUUCUGUUUAGUGCAGCCGCAAGUCCUUCAGUUUGUUUAGUGCACUUGCGGAUUCUUCCCUUCGGUUUGUUUAGUGCAGCCGCAAGUCACUGGAUUCUUCCCUUCAAUUUUAGCCAUUUCUUCCUUUGACUCUUCCCUUCAUUUUUUUUCCCAAUUUCCGUUGAUCAGUUUUUUCACCUCCUUCACGGCCAGAUAAGGUGGAAAUUGAAGAGCCGGCCGUCACCUUUACUCUUUCUUUUGCUUUCCCUUUCCCGCUAUUGUUGUCUUCCUCCAACAGCCUGCCGUCACCUCUGUUUUGAGCCGCAGCCGGACGAUGAAAAAAUUGCAGAACCGAUCGGCUUGUUUCUCCAGCCGGCCGUCACCUUUAUUCUGGAGUGAACCUCAAAAACUAGUGAUGGAUUGCAGAAAUUGCAGAACGAUGAAGAAAUUGCAGAAAUUGCAGAACGAUGAAGAAAUUGCAGAAAUUGCAGAACGAUGAAGAAAUUGCAGAAAUUGCAGAACGAUGAAGAAAUUGCAGAAAUUGCUGGUAUGCUUCUCUUUAUCCCCACUUUUUCCUUGUCUUUGUGGCUGCAAAAUGAAACAAUAAAGCAUGGGAAAAGACUGUAACAACCGUGUGGACCACCCCUUGUAAUUGUAGUUUUGUUUGAUUUUGUAAAAGGCUCUGCAACAGCCGUAGCUAACUGUGGUACGAUGCCUUAUGUGUUCUUUCGGUGUCGGUUCCUUUUUUGUUUGGUUUUGGCUUCCCAGUUGGUGUGUAAAUUUGUUAGCCGGUACAUAUCCGAGUUGAAUCCGAAAAUUUGGCUGUUAUCUUGCUACACGGUGCUAAUUCGGACGAUAUCGGCUGAUUCGGAGCGAUUCAAAUCGGAUAUGGUGUAAUCGGCGUUUCGGGUAUCGGUAUCGGAACGCCAGGUGCCGUUCCGGUUAUGACUCGGCCGAGUCGUCUCGGACUCGGCCGAGUUGGCGAACCCUGUUCCUUACUUGCCCGAAGCUCUCCUCCAGUUUUUUCUUUUUCCAGAUUUUUCUCCCAAUCCCUCCGCAGUCUUUCUCUCUUUUUCUCUCCCCGGACUCUCUCUUCCUCCUCCUUUCUUUCUUUUCUCCUUUCCUUUUUUCCUCCUCCUCCCUUGCUUGCUCUCUCGUAACGGUCUCCCGGUUUCUCUUUUUCCUUUUUCCUCUCUUGCCCGAAACUCCUUUCCUUGUUUUUUCCUUUUUCCCUCCAGAUCCUUUUCCCCUCAAGCUCCCUCUCACUUUUCUUUCUUGUUUCCAGAUUUUUCCUCCAACCCCCACAUGUCCUUGCCACCUAGCCCCUAAAUGUUGUGGUGUACAAAAAGCCAAAAUCACAUGGCUCAUUUGCAUUCGACUUAACUAUCUUGCAUGCAUUCCACCUUUUUUUUUUAUUUUUCAAGGUAAAAAAUUUAGGGUAAACAAAAUAUUAAAUUCCUAUUUGAGAUUGCCUUGCCAAUUUUCAUUUAUUUUGAAGAAAUUAAAUUUGAAAAGAUUAAAAAUAAAUUUUGUGAGACUUUUCUUUUCCGGAAAUUUAAUGCAAAAAAUGUUUGUUUUGUUGAUUAUUUUUAAAAUAAGAUGAACCUUAUUCAAAAAUAGCUAACUAUCAUUUUACGAAUUUGGUUAAAUAAAAAUAAAAAUAAAAAAUAAGAAUAAAAUUAAAUUAAAAUUAAAUUAAACAAAAUUGAAAUUUUGGUGUCUACACCGAGCAAAACGAUCAGAAAUUGUAUUAGCUAGCUUUUCUAUAGCUAACUCAAAGUGAUUGGCGGAUUUUUGUAUGGCUAGCUCCUAAGACGGUCUAGAAUCAUUAGUUAAUGUUUCACUCUCUAAUUCCCAAGGUAAAGAUACAUUAGCUAACCUUUCUAUUGUCAAUUCCCAAGAUGGCUUAGGUUCAUAUUGGACAAUUUCGGGUUGGUAAUCAUAAGAACAUGAAGAGUCACUAUAUGCAUGUUGAUUAUGCCAAUCAUAAGUAUAAGAAUUACUCCAAUUAGGUUCCUUUUGAUCAAAAUAAGGAUUGUAAUGCUCCAAUUCAUCACAAUAACGUUGAUUUUGUACUUGCCAACAUAUAUAAGUAGCAUGAUCACCUCCACAUAAGUCACAAAUCUCAUGAUAAAAAUUAAAAAUAUUAAAAUUCCUCUUUUCUUCAAGCAUAUUUGUAAUAGUGUCCAAUUGAACUUUUAAUGUUAUAAAAUUGCAUUUAGCCUUUAAGUAUCUCAAACCAUCAUCAAAUGACACACCUUUGGUAAUUUCUUGGUUACCUCUAUCCAUAGAGUUUUGCACGUAGUAACCAUUCAUUGCCGAACUUUCACUUCUCAUGCAUUGUUCUCCAAAUUGACCUACCCUCCUCAUUACCUAAAAUUGCUUUUAAACAACUUAAGAACAAGAUUAGUAAGAAAAAUAGGUGAUAAAACACAUACACACAUUAAACACAAAAAUAAAAGAAAAUAACAUUCAAGACUAACUCGACAAAUACACAACAAACUAGGCUCAAUAAAUACACAAGAAUAAUUAUUAAAAUAUCUAAACUAAUAAAGUUGCUCUUCACGCCGAUAUUGCCACAAAUCUUCUCCGGCAACAGCGCCAGAAACUUGACGAGUUUUUGAUUGUACAAGUUUAAAUCCAAUUUAUACCCAUUUUGACUCCAAGUAUACAGGUCAAAUUAGUAGUUUAGGACAUAUAUCGGGUCGAUCCCAUGACAAAGAUUGAACAAUUACCGGCACUACUAAAGCUUCUCUAUUAUUUGAACGAUCAAUGAAUUAAAAGAAAUAAAAUUAUGCUAAACUUGUGCAAGAAAAUAACAAAUGGAAGCUCCUUAGGUUAUGAUAUUCCUAACUACUCAUGCAAGAGUUAGUCCAUCAUUGAGUACUACUAUCUGGGUUAGUUAUGACGUAAUUUUCUUAUGCAUAUGAAAUCUACUCUCAUAGUGAAUCAACUAUAUUUAUAACUAAUCCAUACCUACUCUCGUGGUUAUAAAAUUAGCUACAAGUUCAUUUCUUUUAUGAAAUUAUAUGAAAUGAAUCACUAAAGCAACAAAGGUGCACCUUUACUCUCAUGAGUGUACUCCUUAGAUUUAGCACUUCUUGAACUAGUGUUAAAUCUUAAUUUUCAUUAAAGAAACAACACCUUUAGAUAAUCACAAUUAAUGGUACCAAGUUAAUCAUGAUUUAGAGAGCAAAAGUGUUAAAUAACUUGCUCAAAAUAAAAGCAUCAAAUUAGCCAAAUAAUAAACACUAAUAAUCAUAGAAAGUUUAACCAAACCCAAAGCAUAAACUUUAGAAACACAUAAUAAACAUACAAUCCAAACUUGUAUAUUAACUAAACAAUAUAAUCAAGUAUAAAAGAUAAAGAGUUUGGAAAGAAAUGUAACCCUUGUCACAUGAGUUCAUCUUCUCCAUCUUCAUCUCCUUCUUCAUUUUUGUCUAACUAAUAAAUAAGAAGGAUUGACUGACUGAUUAAACUAUCCUAUCCUAUUCUAAUCUAACACUAAGAAAAUGUAAGAACUACAUUUGUGAGGACUUGUGAAAUCCCUUAUAUUUUUUUUUAAAUUCCCUUUAAUUUAGAAUUUAUUACUUUACAAUAGCUUUACUACUCAUUCACUUCCCCAAUAGUUACAAUUAAUUAUAGAACCAAGGGUUUCUUCUUUACUUUCAUCGUUAAGAUAAACUAGGGUGUUUACGUCUUUUUGUAGUGUGAGUAAUCGGUACGGAGUGUAUACUAAACUUGGUGGUUAAGAGUGAGUUUUAGAUAAGAAAAAGUGAGUGAUUAGAAGUAAUAAUAAUAAGUUAGAGAAUGGUAAGUGAAAACCCUAGUACGUGUGAGUUAAGGAAAAACGGUGUGAACCGAUGGGUACCGUUUGUUACCGAGUAAACACACCACUUGACCAACAUUUUAUUAACUUAAUUUCAUUGUCAUUAGUGCAAAAAUAUCAGCCCUAAUUACCCUAGAGAGAGAGCCAAAAUUCUUGACUAAAAAGAAAGGAAAAAGAAGAAAAAAAAUUCAAGAUGAAAUCUUGUGGUGACACUUGGAAGUCAUCCAACCAUCUUUGACCAACUCAAGUCUUAGUUUCUUAUCCUUUCUUGGAGCUUCAUUCUUCCCUCAAAAUCCUCCAUGGUGGCCGAAACUCAAGGAAGAAAAAAGAGAGAAGAAAACUUCAUUUCCAUCUUGAUUUGUAGUUUAGUUUGAGUGAAAACCAAAAAUCUUAACCGAUUAACCCCUUACUUCGGAACCUAGAAAGCUUUGUGUGCUAAAGUUUUGGAAGGAAAGGUGGCGGAUUUCUCUUGCAAGCAUCUUGGUGAGGUAUUAUGGCUCUCCUUCCUAUUUCUUUCCCUUAAUCUUGUUUAAGUUUUUAUAGCAACUUAUACUCUUGGCUAAUGAUGGUAAUUUAAGUAGUUUUGAUGGAUAUGGUGGAUUUUUUAGUUAGAGUUUGAGUUGUUCAGCUGUAUUUCUUGUUUUUUAGAUAGCAUAUGAUAUCUAUAAGCUGGGAUAGGGAGUUGGGAUAGUGGUUCAAGACAUGAAUGAGAAUGUAAACCUUGAAUUCAUCAAAUUUCCAGCUUUAAAGAUUGAACUGCCUUGCUUCUGACCAACUUCAUUCGUCCAUGUUAGAGGCCACAUUAGGCUUAGAUCAAAACAUGAGAGUUGUAGGAAAUGAUGUUAUAUAGCUUUCUGUGAAAUUUCAGCUCAAUCGGAGAACUGUAGCAUGUGAAAUGACUGAAAUACCCUUGACUACCAAAUCUUCUUUUCCCCGGACGGUUUUGAGCUUUCACAUUUCUGGCUUCAUUUUUCACUUUGAUCUGUAUGAAAUCAACCUUUGACCAAAGCACAAAAAGUUUAACCUAUGCUUCAGCUUUCCAACACAUCUGAAAAUGCCUCAAUCGGAAUUGUGUAGCCUAAGUUAUUGCCAUUUGAAUCCAGUGCUGAUAACCAGACUAACCAGGAAAUUCUGGUUCUGUAAUCUGCAAAUUCGACCCAGAUCAACUGUGAACUGGGUUGAGUUAUCUUCAUAAAAAUUGUAACUCUUUGUCUUAGCUUCGAAAUGGCUUAAAGUGCAUCCCAAUCCGAUAAGCAUACCUUCGGUUGUGACCGAAACGCUAAGAGACGUUAAACCUGUUAUUUUGAUAUUUGUCUUAAACAUUAGUUCCGGUCAAUUUGCUAGCAUUGUUUUGUAAUUGAGUGACAUUGAGCCUAUUGAAAGGCUAUUGUAAUAUGGUUAUUUGUGUGUGAUUUUGAGGCUGAAUUGAGAAGAAUAAUGAAGUUAUAAAUGGCUGAAAAAUAGGUAAACACAAAGGGCGUGCUGCCCAAAUUUUCACUCGAGGCUUGGUAGAGAUACUCGAGACUUGAGUAAGGGUUUGAGAACGAAUCUCACUUGAAUCGUCUAGGGUAUUCAAGUCUUCUUUCAUAGAGGUAUAUAAGUUAGAAUUCGGCGAAACUUGUACCCUGGAAAAUGAAAGUAACGACUAAUAGAAAUACAUUUUUCUCGUCACUUCGACUCAAAUGGAGAUUUCAAAGUUUAAUCGUUCCAAAGUUUCAAAGUUUUAAGAGCGAGCAUGAGUUUACAAAUAUUCUCCAAAUGAGUUUCAAUUACUUGAUUCUUGUUAAACGAAACGUUUAAGUUUCGAACCUUAGUUGAUUUUCAAAACUCUUCAACGAUGUUUUAUCGCAGAUUUGGACUCCCAACAAGGAGUAAUACCUGAACAUGAUCCGUAGAAGCACUACAUCUUUGGUGAGUGCUUCCAAAUACCUGAUUGAACUUGGUACUUGUGUUUAAUACGUGACCAAUGUGGUUACAUGAUAUAUGAGUGGAUUGAUAAGGUAAGAGUAUACUUUAUCACACUUGCUCUAAUGUGAUAUAUUCUUGUUCAAUGAUUUCAAUUGAAUUGAUAUACAUGUAUUUGAGUUGUAUUUUGUCUGGAAUUCUAGAAACCCUAUAACUAGUUAAUCGAGUCGAGCCGGCAAGGGUUUGGUCGAUUAGAUAACGAACCCUGGGUAGUUAGUGUUGUCGAGUGGAAUGUUAUCUCCUCGACUAAUCGGUAUACUCGAGUAUUACCAUUAGUGUUUAUUGAGAAUUUUGGGCCCAAUAGGGGGUUUGGUUGGUGGACGGAGAUUGUAGUUAAGUGGUUCUCUACUGGAUUGGUUACUUUACAUGAAAGUUGACAGAGUGUCAACUACUACUUGAUCACGCUCUGGUAAAGCAAUGGGAACUUGGCCCUUGUGAGCCAUUCGUAUCCUUAUCCUUUGACAUGAUUAUUAAUUAUCGGGUUAUUGUUUCUUUUGAAAAACUUUACAUUCGCUCAUUUUGAGAAUUGUUAUUUGAAAAGUUAUUGCUCACUUUUAUGAACUUGUUAUGCUCGCUUACUUGUCCUUUUAAAUAAUGGUCAACUUGCUAUUUGGAACCUCAUUGAGCUUUUAACUCAUUCCAUGCCAUUUGUUUUCCUUACAGAUGAUACGAAUAAGGCGUGAUCAAGCACGAAACGCGAGGGCGUGCGCGCGGGAGAAAGGGUUGACUUUUGAAUUAAUUGGAGCCACACAUUUUAGCUUCUCUUGGAAGCUUCAUUAGAGCCCAAAACACACUCACUUUUGCUCCCAUUCCAGCCGUGCACUUCAAGAGAAAAAGAACCAAGUUUCUUCUUCAAUUUCUUCUUCAAAUCUUCACUAAUCCUUCACCAAAUCAUCUCAAAUUUUAAUCACACUUUGCUAAACACUUGGAGAGCACUUCAAGCUAGAAAAGGAGGCUGCUCUCACGGUUUUUCUUGAGCAAAUAAGGACCGAAAUUUCUGCCUUAAUCAUCUAAGUAAGUAAGUGAUGAUCGACCUUCAAAAUCUUAAUUUAUGAAAGUUGUAUUGCACAUAUAACCUCAUAUAUUCAUGUGGGAAGCUUUAUUUAUGUUGGAUUUUGGUGAAUGGGCUCUAUGAACUCCCACAAUUGCUUGAUGGACUGAUUUGCUGCGUUUUGAUGUUAUUAAUGUUGGAUUAGUGGUUAAUCUAGUGGAAAUAGGUUGUAUUGUUGAAGGAAAGUUCAAAGGAAGUGAAGAAGGAAUUUUUCCAUUUCUGCGCCUGUCCAUGCCAUGGCCCUUAGGGGAAUUUUUCAUGGUUCUAAUGACUUUUUUUUUAUGUAUAUAUGUACUAUAGGUUGUGUAGAAAGUUUCAUCAAAAAAUUACGUGAUUUAGUUGGCCAAAUGUUGUGAUUUCGAAAGUUCCUUCAAAACUGGAAUUUUUCCCGUAUUGCACAGGCAGUGUUUUUCAAACAGCUAUAACGUUUUGCUCCGACGUCGAAAUUGAGUGCCAUUUGUGGCACUGGAAAGUAGACAUUCUCAGUUUUCCAAUGGUAUAAAAUUCAUGUCCAGACUCCACCUGAGUGAACGGUACCACUCAUUUGAAUUGUGGUGUCCUGUUUCGCUGCUUCACUGGAGUCCACGUCUUGAGCUGCAACUUGAUGCUCAAAGAUGAACUAGUUGUGGACAGAUUUUAAAAAUGAUUUCUUCUGAGAAAUUGUAACCUUAUGAAUGAAGUUUUCAACACCACCAACUACGCUCAAUUCCAAGUUGCAUUGAGUGAGAUAUCGCUAAAUUACAGACCUGGAUUUUUGCUUGAAAAUCCUCUUUUGGCUAGUUAAAUGGCCUAGCUUGAUUUGAGACUUGUUGUUUUGGAAACUUUGAUGUCCGACAUCUACCAAACUUUAUAUUAGAUGUUCCUUGGACUUUUUUUCACAAAUAAACCAGAUUUGGGUUGGUUGCAUUGGACAAAAUGUUUAAUAAGGAAAGAAGAGCUAGAAGACAGUUUUGCCUUGGGAAAUUUCUUGAACUUUGAUGGUUUAGUUAACUACCUUCCCGUGUGAAUUUUCAAAUGAAAUUUGAUAGAGGAGUAGUCCUCAUAUGGAGGUUUAAUUGUACAAAAUUUGGUGAUAUUAUAAGACCAUUUUGAUAUGCAAAUGAUGUCCCGAAAUUGCUCUUCGAAUCUGGAAAACUUUCCUUUUCUCUUAGUCGAAUGGCCAAUCUUGACUUGGGACUUGUUAUUUUGAAAUUCUUGGUGUUAAUCACCUACGAACAUGUAUCUUGAAUGUUACUUAGACAUUGUCAACACAAAUGAACCAUGUUUGAAAAUAUUUCAUUAGCCAAAUGAUUUAGAAAAGGGAAAUGGUAGCACAAGGCAGCUUUGCCUUGAAAAUUUAGAAACUUUCGUGACUUUGUUAACCAACUUUCCGUAUGUAUUUUUCCAUAAAAUUUGACAAAGGAAUAGCCCUUAUAUGAUAGUGUAAUACUGCCAAAUUUGGUGCCAUUUCGAGUCCGUUUCAAUGCUUAACCAAAGUCCCAAAGUUUGUGAUUUGAACCUGGAAAUUGCCUAAAAGUUUCGAUUUUUCAGCAACUUUAAGCUACUAUGUCUUGGUGCUCAAAAUUCCGAUUCUUGUUCUGCUUGUUAUGUUUUAAACUUUUUUUGUGACUCUAAUUGAUUUCCAAAUUUCAGAGGCUGGUUCACAUUGUGUGAAUUUUGCUGAAUUUCCAAAGUUUGCCGAAAACCAACACCGAAACUGUCUCGCAAGCCAAAACAGCAACUUUGAGACAAAUUUUGAAUACCUUCCGUUUGGAAUCAUGGAAAAGUGUCUUCUAGAAACUUUUAGUACUUUGGAAGUAGUUUCCAAUGGUACCAAGUUUUUCAAUUUUGGACUCAUAGAGAGUGAGAUUUGAUUUUUCAAAGUUUACUUGCCGAAUAUGAAAUUUUCGAACUUAAAGGAAAUUGAGGGUUUCAAACUCUCCAUUUUCCUCCGAUAUUGCUAGACCGUUUUACACUUCAUUUCAAAGGCAAAAAUCAGAUUUCUCUUAUGCUUUUGAAACCCACUUCCGAGUCUCGAUUAUAAAUAAUUAAGGUUAAUUCAUGAAUUCUCCUUAGAUUGUACACUAGUACUGUGACGGCUCCACCUCCCCCUAGGGCGUACCCCAGGGUUUAGCGGAUCGCCUGCCCAACUCUUGUCAGGACUCACUCACUCGUAUCUCAAAAAAACUAAGAACGUACAUCCAUAGAAAAUGAAUAACACAUCCACUUAAUAAAUACAUUGAUACUCAAAUCCAGAAACAAAGCUUCUACACACCAAAAUACUCCAAAGUGUUUACAAAUCGAGUACAAUCAACCCUAGUCGGGUACUAGCGUGAGUACAUCUUCAAAUUCAAAACAACUAGAUUACGCUAAUCUGUACAUGUCCCAUGCCUCGCUCGUACCCCCUGUAAGGAAAACAAAUGGCGUGGAAUGAGCUAAAAGCCCAAUGAGGUUCCAAAUAACAAAUUGACCAUUUUGAAAGUACGAAUAUCAACGUAACAAGUUAAUGGGCAUCAAAAGUUCAUAAAAGUGAAUAAUAAUACUUCAAGUAGCAAAUCUCAAAGUGAGCGAGUGUAAAAGUUUUUCAGAAGAAUCAAUAAUCCAAUAAACAAUAAUCAUUCCAAAAUAUAAGGAUACGUAUGGCUCUCAGGAGCCAAAUUCUCAUCGCAUCACCAGAGCUUGAUCAAGUAAUAGUUGACAUUCCGUCAACCUUCAAGUAAGUAACCAAUCCAGUAGAGCACCACUUACACUACUCUCCGUCCACCAUUCACACCCCCUAUUGGGCCCAAAAUCCUCAAUAAACACGGGUGGUAAUUGUGAGAACCCUGAAAAUAUACAUAUAAAUAUCAGUGCAUAUUUUAUUUGCAUUUUAAUUCUUUAAUAAAUUUUAGCACUAAGUCCCAUUGUUUUUAAAUAAGUACAUAGAAAUAAACGUUAUGUGCAAAAUAAAAGAAUUGUGCUAGACUACCAAACUUCUUAGUUUUGUUACAUUAACUUCAUAUUUCGAUGGUAAACUAUUUCAUUGAUCUAAGAAUUAAAUUUCUUUUUUGAAUUCUAGUAUUGUAAUUAAUUGUUUUGAAAUAAAAGUGUAAAGAUAAUUUUUAUGUAAAAAAAAAAAUAAUAUAAUUGUGCCCAAUAUUGAAUUAUUCGGUUUUGUUACACUAAAUUAAUAUUUCUCGAGUUAGAGUAAUUUUAUUGCUUAAAAACAAACUCUUUGAAUUCCGAUAGCUAAUUUAAUCGUUAAUAAUGUUAAGAGUUAAUAGGAACCUUAGUAUUAAGUUGCAUUUGAUAAUUUUAGACAAAACCAUUACAAGUACACUUAGUAUACUUAGGACGUUAAAAUCUCGAUAAUCAAAUCUUUGCGAGAUUAGUAUAUUAUUAAGUAUUCAAAUUACAUUUGGGAUAAAUUUUGGAAUUAGAUUAAGUUAGAAAUAGGGACUUAAGUGGAUAUUAGGAGUGGAUAUUAGGAGAGCAAGUGAAAAGAUCAAAAUUACCCUCACAACCUCACGAAAUAACCGUCUGUCACCACCUCACAUUCGGCCAAUACAUUUCUUUCCCACUCCAACACACAACCGCACAAGCACUCUACCUCCAUUGCCAAAACCGCGGCUCCACCUCCACUUUUCUUCACAAUCCAACUUCUCACCUCAGCUCCACAACACCAUUUCCCUUUCGGAUCAGCAGCUGGAGCAAGGUAGGAGAGCUGAAAUCCGCAAGCUACACCCAGUUUUCCAGCCGCAACAACCACCACAGCUCCACCAUCUGCUCAGCCAAGACAACCCCAAACCAGUCGCGAGCCUAGGGAAAUAAUUCUGCCCAGAUUUGUUCGUGCGUGAACGGAGCAUUAGCAGAGGUACUUCUUGAUCUAGUUUGAGUUGAUUAGAGGGUUCUGGAGCUAACUUAAAAUCUUGCAUGUUGAUUAUUAGACUUCGGAUGGUAGUUACAAAAACAGCAAAAAUUUUCUGAUGUGCGAUAGUGCUUCAUCCGAGACUGAUUGGAAUGAUGCUACCUUAGAUGAUCAAACUCUGUUAUUCUGAGCUUGUUGUGAUGUUUAAUUAACUAAUCACUAACUAAUUAAAUUGUUCAAAGCUUUGCAUGGGAACUUGGAACUUUCGGAUGAUGAACCAAGGAACAUAAGAAAUUCUGUUUUGAUGUAGUAAUGUUGCCGUGAGCUUGAGCAGAAAAUGUAAGUUUAACUUGCCUAAAUGUGACCCUCUGAAUUGAUCCCUGUGCUUAAUUAGUCAAUAACUAAUCAGUUAAGCUGUGCAUGUAGCAAUGAGAUGGCCUAAACCAGAAAAAUAAAAAGGAAAAUUUGAAAGUGGUUCAUGCAUGAUCACCGAGGCUCAUGGGAGAAUUUCUGGAUUUUUGGGAAAUUUGUAGUUGCUAAUUGAAUUCAAUUUUUGAGUUAAAAAUGUCAACUAGUUAGCUAAGUGUUUAAACGCUGAAUUGAGUACCUAAUACCAUACUUAAACCAAGGAAAAAUUCGAACUAAAGUAGAUUGGUUGCUGGAAAUUUUGGGUGAUAGCCGAAGGGGUAUGAUCCAGAAUUUCAAUAUCGUUGGGAAAAUUGUAAUUUGUUUCUGGAAAUUUAUUUUAUUUCCUUGGAUUAUGGUGGCUCAGAAUUUCAUAAGAGAUGCAAAUUUCAAGAUAUACAAUUUGUUUAGCAACGAACCAAUUAGUACAUAUAAAGUUGGAACCAAAAACGCUAGUAUACAAUUGCUGGAAAUUCUCUUGUGAUUGCCGAAUAUUGAGUUGAAUUAUCAACUUGGAUUCUGGAAAUUUUCUUGAAAAUAUAAUGGUUAAAAUGCCUGGAAUAUGUUGUUUGGGAAUCUAUAAGGAAUGCAUGGACGGCUUGAAAUAAAAACAUGUUGGUGUUAAAAGAAAAAAAAAAAAAGGAGUUUUUCAUUAGUGGAAAAUGAAACUCCAGAUUUUCGGAUGUCCCUGACCAGUCUCGAUAAAAUGUUUAUAUCUUGGUGUAGGAAAAUCCGUUUAAGGCGCCGUCAGUGGUAUUUGAAACUAGAAUCAUAGGCCUUUGACCUAUAGAGAUUUCGUAUUUUUCCUCCAUGUGUAUCGCUGUCUGUGAAUGUUUAAAGUAGACUGUUUUGCAUGAAUAUCCUGUUUCUUUGAGAAACUAAACUUGAAUUUGGAUUGAGAUUUUAUCUUACUUGUGGUUCAAAUUCUUGAUUCAAUUGUAGUUGGAAGUAACUAAUGUCGUCAAGGGCCAAUGAUUGAUGAAGCCCUUGGCCAUUUGAAUGACUUUAUAAGUACCACGGUGUGAUGAAAGUGAAUUGCUGGAAUGUCUUGGAAGCUUUACUUUUACUUUUACUUGCUUAUGUUGGGUUUGCUGAGACCAAGUGCUAAUGAUUGAUGAAGCCUUGGUUGAUCAUGUUAGUUUAUUCGGAAAUGCACUUGUUGAAAUUUAAGGCUAAUGAUUGACGAAGUCCUAGUAAUUUGUUAUGUGAUUUUUACCACAUUUUGAUUCAUAUUAUGAUUUCGAAACGGAAUCGGAGCUGUGGAAGUUGUAUCGACUUAGCGAACUCGAGUAACUGUGGUCAAAUUAAUCAAAAAUAUUUUUCCAGCUAGUAUUAUAUUAUAAAACUCCAUAUCUAGUGCUUUGCCUAAAAAUUUUCCAACUCGAUAAUUUCCUUUAGCUCAAACUAGCCUUGAUAGCUAUAGUAAAUAAGUUCUAUAGCUUUUGAAAACUUUAAGUCUUAUUUUAACUCCUUUUCUUUCCUUAAGCUUUGCACUUGGAUAGUUAACUAUAGGAAAAGUUCCAAAAUACGAGUUUUACUAAUUUUAGUGAAAAGCUUGAGAAACUUACUCGGCAAGAAACCUUAUUUUUAGGUAAAAUAGUUUAGUAAUAAUUUUGCAAAAACCAUAGCUUUAAAGAAAUGUUCAAAGUAACUUCCUAACGUGGAUAUUAAGAGAUUUGUCGAUUUAUUUCAAGAAAGUAAUACAAGUUAUUUUUUUCAGGAAAAGUAUCUUAAUGAAAACUAUAGGAAACAAUCCUUCUACUUUGUCACGUAUUAACCCAAGGGACUCUUGAUUUCCUAAGGGAAAGUGAAUUAGUAGUAUGUAAUUAUACCUCAAUGUCUAUAAGCUUAAAAACGGAGUAAAAACUUAUAGUUUCAAUAUUUGUUAUUUUAGGGUAUCGUGAGGAAGUGGAACUCGAAUCCCAAUUUGACAUCUGAACUUCACUCUUGGUGAGUGUCCCUGUUUGUUCUAUUCUUACAUGAUUAAGUGCUUCCUUGAAUUUAAGUGUGAUAAUCGCAAAAAUUGGUUUUGAUCCAUCGAAGUGAGCGGUGUGUACUUUACCACACUAGUCGUUCGAGUGGUGACUUGUGUAAAGCAUUUUUUUUGUGAAUCCAAGUGCUAGACGUAAAGUCGUUGGGUGAAUCCCUCGACGAGUCAAUAAUAAUAAAUCAAGUGCUAGACGUAAAGUCGUUGGGUGAAUCCCUCGACGAGUCAAUAAGAGUAAAUCAAGUGCUAGACGUAAAGUCGUUGGGUGAAUCCCUCGACGAGUCAAUAAUAAUAAAUCAAGUGCUAGACGUAAAGUCGUUGGGUGAAUCCCUCGACGAGUCAAUAAGAGUAAAUCAAGUGCUAGACGUAAAGUCGUUGGGUGAAUCCCUCGACGAGUCAAUAAUAAUAAAUCAAGUGCUAGACGUAAAGUCGUUGGGUGAAUCCCUCGACGAGUCAAUAAUAGUAAAUCAAGUGCUAGACGUAAAGUCGUUGGGUGAAUCCCUCGACGAGUCAAUAAGAGUAAAUCAAGUGCUAGACGUAAAGUCGUUGGGUGAAUCCCUCGACGAGUCAAUAAUAAUAAUGUAAGUUCAGGACGUAACGUCGUUGGGUGAAUCCCUCGACCAGUCUAAGGUACACUUGGGUAUUAUCGCCUUCCUAUUUGUUUACUUCAGUCGAAUCAAUACGUGCUAAUUGUUUUAAUUGAUUGCAUGUUUUUGGGGCACCACUGAGCUUUAGCUCACCCCACGUUUAAUUGUUUUCCUUGACAGGUCUUGAAGUUUGAGAAAUCUGAGCAGUGCUGAUUUCUUUUAAUUUGUACUUGAAUCUUAAGACUGCAGUUUACCGUUGUAUUGUAUUGUGAAUUGAAAAACGUAUUGGUUAUUUUGGAUUGCCACUUGAAGCUGGAAAAUGUUUAAACCCUAAUUAUUAUGUUUGGCUUGUAUGGUUGUAAUCGUGGUGUGUGACAGUAUAUAUCCGGAUUGGUACGACCUUAUACCUUAGAGGUAACGCGUGAGAUGUAUAAGAGCCGUCGACUGGCUAUCUUCUUUACUGCUAUCUCUGAAGUUAAUGUAGAUUUAAGGAUGAUCCUAUCUGGGAAAAGUUGUUUUGUAACAGAUUAGGUUAUUCUUCGGAAGGAUCCGGGUUAGUGUGCGUGCGUGAGUCCUGGCGAGAGCUGGGCAGACGGCCCGCCAACCCUCUGGUUCGCCUUAGGGGGAAGUGGGGUCGUCACAGGUGGUAUCAGAGCCAUAUGCCGACAGUUGGGACUUUAAGUCCUUCGUCUGGAAAAGCCCCGAGCCUCUCGUUCGUGAAGAGUCACGAAGCGAAACUCUCCGUAGGGGAUGCCCGCGUGCGGGUGGCAAGCUGAUAGGUACCCCGUGAUGUGACCCUGAGAACUGUCACAGGUGGUAUCAGAGCUCUUAUCGAGCUCGUGCCGGGAAAGGAUUCUCGGACUGUGGGGAUUGGCUUGUUAAGUGUGAAACAAAAGUCGAUAGUUGAGGAUAUUAGAUAUGUAUGUUGGGUAGGAAUCUCAAAUGUAGGUAAGUUACUCUUGGGACUGGCCAGCCUGAGAUGUAAAUUAUCCUAUUGUCGGAUUCUUGUACCCGAAUACCAGAUAUUUCAUUCAAUGAUGUAUUUGCAAAUUUGGAAGAAUUUAGUAUAUUGCAUUAUGAUGUGAUUAGAGAUCAAAUCCAGAAAAGUAGAACCGAAAGUAUCAAGUUUAGCUUUUGAAAGAUAAAAGUGAAGAGCCAAUAGUGAGAUCUUGAAGAUUAGUGCCAAUUCUGUACUUAAGAUGAAUAAUUUUACUAGUCAUUCAAUGGUAAAUGGAAUAUAUGCCAUCUCUUACCCAAAAUAAUGGUUUAGACAUAGAAUUGAGUGAAAUAGUAGUUUAGACAGGAACUAUGCAGUUGUGAACAGCUUUAAACCUUGAGGAGAGUCUUUAAAACUGAGGUGAGAUAAGUUGACGAAUUUGCCAUGUGAGGUGAGUUAUCGAUGACAUUGUGGUUCCUUAAGUUUUACUGGAGGACUAUUCGGGACUAACGUCCAAAAGGAUAAAGAUAACUAGUUGUUAGGUUAUUAGAAAAGCCAAUGUAUGAAAUGUUUGAGAUCAUUUAGAAUACUUAAGAGUCAUUGAUGUACUUAAGUAAUGAUCAUGUUAUUCGAUUUAAUAUUAGACGUGGUAGAUCUACAAUCCACUAAGGUUAAGUUGAAUCUAAACUAAGGGGUUGAGCUAUUAGUUAUGUGGUUAUAAUAAUUUGCGUAUUAUUGAAUUGUUUUCUUUCGUGUUUAUAAAGAUUGAAGUUUGAGUUAUGUAUGAAAAUAUUGAAUGUAUUCGUGAAUUGUUUGGCUCUUGAAGUUGUAUGAAAUUGGUGUGCAAUGUGACUCAUAUUGUGUGUAUGAAACUUGAUGACUACACGUCUACUUUGUUAUAAUGUUGAAAAAAAAAAUAAAUAAAUAAAUUCUCGAACCAACUCAAUUCCAAACACCAAUGGGUGAUAAGAAUAUAAUCAGUAGCUUAACUCAUAAUAAUUGCGAAUUCUGGAUCGGAGGGCAUAAAAUACUAGUGGAUCUAAGCAGAGUGGAUAUAAAAGGUUAUGAUGUUGUUAUAGGAAUGAAUUUUUUAACUCAUCAUCAUGCUAAGCUUGAUUUCAGAGCAAAAGUGUUAGAAUUUUGGAUUUCCGGAGAAGCAACUUGGGAGUAAGAAGAAGAAAUACAGAAAAAGUAUUCCGAUUUGUUUCUCAAGAAAGUGUGAAUUUUGAGGACAAAAUUCAUUGUAAGGAGGGGAGGAUGUGAGAACCCUGAAAAUAUACAUAUAAAUAUCAGUGCAUAUUUUAUUUGCAUUUUAAUUCUUUAAUAAAUUUUAGCACUAAGUCCCAUUGUUUUUAAAUAAGUACAUAGAAAUAAACGUUAUGUGCAAAAUAAAAGAAUUGUGCUAGACUACCAAACUUCUUAGUUUUGUUACAUUAACUUCAUAUUUCGAUGGUAAACUAUUUCAUUGAUCUAAGAAUUAAAUUUCUUUUUUGAAUUCUAGUAUUGUAAUUAAUUGUUUUGAAAUAAAAGUGUAAAGAUAAUUUCUAUGUAAAAAAAAAAAUAAUAUAAUUGUGCCCAAUAUUGAAUUAUUCGGUUUUGUUACACUAAAUUAAUAUUUCUCGAGUUAGAGUAAUUUUAUUGCUUAAAAACAAACUCUUUGAAUUCCGAUAGCUAAUUUAAUCGUUAAUAAUGUUAAGAGUUAAUAGGAACCUUAGUAUUAAGUUGCAUUUGAUAAUUUUAGACAAAACCAUUACAAGUACACUUAGUAUACUUAGGACGUUAAAAUCUCGAUAAUCAAAUCUUUGCGAGAUUAGUAUAUUAUUAAGUAUUCAAAUUACAUUUGGGAUAAAUUUUGGAAUUAGAUUAAGUUAGAAAUAGGGACUUAAGUGGAUAUUAGGAGUGGAUAUUAGGAGAGCAAGUGAAAAGAUCAAAAUUACCCUCACAACCUCACGAAAUAACCGUCUGUCACCACCUCACAUUCGGCCAAUACAUUUCUUUCCCACUCCAACACACAACCGCACAAGCACUCUACCUCCAUUGCCAAAACCGCGGCUCCACCUCCACUUUUCUUCACAAUCCAACUUCUCACCUCAGCUCCACAACACCAUUUCCCUUUCGGAUCAGCAGCUGGAGCAAGGUAGGAGAGCUGAAAUCCGCAAGCUACACCCAGUUUUCCAGCCGCAACAACCACCACAGCUCCACCAUCUGCUCAGCCAAGACAACCCCAAACCAGUCGCGAGCCUAGGGAAAUAAUUCUGCCCAGAUUUGUUCGUGCGUGAACGGAGCAUUAGCAGAGGUACUUCUUGAUCUAGUUUGAGUUGAUUAGAGGGUUCUGGAGCUAACUUAAAAUCUUGCAUGUUGAUUAUUAGACUUCGGAUGGUAGUUACAAAAACAGCAAAAAUUUUCUGAUGUGCGAUAGUGCUUCAUCCGAGACUGAUUGGAAUGAUGCUACCUUAGAUGAUCAAACUCUGUUAUUCUGAGCUUGUUGUGAUGUUUAAUUAACUAAUCACUAACUAAUUAAAUUGUUCAAAGCUUUGCAUGGGAACUUGGAACUUUCGGAUGAUGAACCAAGGAACAUAAGAAAUUCUGUUUUGAUGUAGUAAUGUUGCCGUGAGCUUGAGCAGAAAAUGUAAGUUUAACUUGCCUAAAUGUGACCCUCUGAAUUGAUCCCUGUGCUUAAUUAGUCAAUAACUAAUCAGUUAAGCUGUGCAUGUAGCAAUGAGAUGGCCUAAACCAGAAAAAUAAAAAGGAAAAUUUGAAAGUGGUUCAUGCAUGAUCACCGAGGCUCAUGGGAGAAUUUCUGGAUUUUUGGGAAAUUUGUAGUUGCUAAUUGAAUUCAAUUUUUGAGUUAAAAAUGUCAACUAGUUAGCUAAGUGUUUAAACGCUGAAUUGAGUACCUAAUACCAUACUUAAACCAAGGAAAAAUUCGAACUAAAGUAGAUUGGUUGCUGGAAAUUUUGGGUGAUAGCCGAAGGGGUAUGAUCCAGAAUUUCAAUAUCGUUGGGAAAAUUGUAAUUUGUUUCUGGAAAUUUAUUUUAUUUCCUUGGAUUAUGGUGGCUCAGAAUUUCAUAAGAGAUGCAAAUUUCAAGAUAUACAAUUUGUUUAGCAACGAACCAAUUAGUACAUAUAAAGUUGGAACCAAAAACGCUAGUAUACAAUUGCUGGAAAUUCUCUUGUGAUUGCCGAAUAUUGAGUUGAAUUAUCAACUUGGAUUCUGGAAAUUUUCUUGAAAAUAUAAUGGUUAAAAUGCCUGGAAUAUGUUGUUUGGGAAUCUAUAAGGAAUGCAUGGACGGCUUGAAAUAAAAACAUGUUGGUGUUAAAAGAAAAAAAAAAAGGAGUUUUUCAUUAGUGGAAAAUGAAACUCCAGAUUUUCGGAUGUCCCUGACCAGUCUCGAUAAAAUGUUUAUAUCUUGGUGUAGGAAAAUCCGUUUAAGGCGCCGUCAGUGGUAUUUGAAACUAGAAUCAUAGGCCUUUGACCUAUAGAGAUUUCGUAUUUUUCCUCCAUGUGUAUCGCUGUCUGUGAAUGUUUAAAGUAGACUGUUUUGCAUGAAUAUCCUGUUUCUUUGAGAAACUAAACUUGAAUUUGGAUUGAGAUUUUAUCUUACUUGUGGUUCAAAUUCUUGAUUCAAUUGUAGUUGGAAGUAACUAAUGUCGUCAAGGGCCAAUGAUUGAUGAAGCCCUUGGCCAUUUGAAUGACUUUAUAAGUACCACGGUGUGAUGAAAGUGAAUUGCUGGAAUGUCUUGGAAGCUUUACUUUUACUUUUACUUGCUUAUGUUGGGUUUGCUGAGACCAAGUGCUAAUGAUUGAUGAAGCCUUGGUUGAUCAUGUUAGUUUAUUCGGAAAUGCACUUGUUGAAAUUUAAGGCUAAUGAUUGACGAAGUCCUAGUAAUUUGUUAUGUGAUUUUUACCACAUUUUGAUUCAUAUUAUGAUUUCGAAACGGAAUCGGAGCUGUGGAAGUUGUAUCGACUUAGCGAACUCGAGUAACUGUGGUCAAAUUAAUCAAAAAUAUUUUUCCAGCUAGUAUUAUAUUAUAAAACUCCAUAUCUAGUGCUUUGCCUAAAAAUUUUCCAACUCGAUAAUUUCCUUUAGCUCAAACUAGCCUUGAUAGCUAUAGUAAAUAAGUUCUAUAGCUUUUGAAAACUUUAAGUCUUAUUUUAACUCCUUUUCUUUCCUUAAGCUUUGCACUUGGAUAGUUAACUAUAGGAAAAGUUCCAAAAUACGAGUUUUACUAAUUUUAGUGAAAAGCUUGAGAAACUUACUCGGCAAGAAACCUUAUUUUUAGGUAAAAUAGUUUAGUAAUAAUUUUGCAAAAACCAUAGCUUUAAAGAAAUGUUCAAAGUAACUUCCUAACGUGGAUAUUAAGAGAUUUGUCGAUUUAUUUCAAGAAAGUAAUACAAGUUAUUUUUUUCAGGAAAAGUAUCUUAAUGAAAACUAUAGGAAACAAUCCUUCUACUUUGUCACGUAUUAACCCAAGGGACUCUUGAUUUCCUAAGGGAAAGUGAAUUAGUAGUAUGUAAUUAUACCUCAAUGUCUAUAAGCUUAAAAACGGAGUAAAAACUUAUAGUUUCAAUAUUUGUUAUUUUAGGGUAUCGUGAGGAAGUGGAACUCGAAUCCCAAUUUGACAUCUGAACUUCACUCUUGGUGAGUGUCCCUGUUUGUUCUAUUCUUACAUGAUUAAGUGCUUCCUUGAAUUUAAGUGUGAUAAUCGCAAAAAUUGGUUUUGAUCCAUCGAAGUGAGCGGUGUGUACUUUACCACACUAGUCGUUCGAGUGGUGACUUGUGUAAAGCAUUUUUUUUGUGAAUCCAAGUGCUUGACGUAAAGUCGUUGGGUGAAUCCCUCGACGAGUCAAUAAUAAUAAAUCAAGUGCUAGACGUAAAGUCGUUGGGUGAAUCCCUCGACGAGUCAAUAAGAGUAAAUCAAGUGCUAGACGUAAAGUCGUUGGGUGAAUCCCUCGACGAGUCAAUAAUAAUAAAUCAAGUGCUAGACGUAAAGUCGUUGGGUGAAUCCCUCGACGAGUCAAUAAGAGUAAAUCAAGUGCUAGACGUAAAGUCGUUGGGUGAAUCCCUCGACGAGUCAAUAAUAAUAAAUCAAGUGCUAGACGUAAAGUCGUUGGGUGAAUCCCUCGACGAGUCAAUAAUAGUAAAUCAAGUGCUAGACGUAAAGUCGUUGGGUGAAUCCCUCGACGAGUCAAUAAGAGUAAAUCAAGUGCUAGACGUAAAGUCGUUGGGUGAAUCCCUCGACGAGUCAAUAAUAAUAAUGUAAGUUCAGGACGUAACGUCGUUGGGUGAAUCCCUCGACCAGUCUAAGGUACACUUGGGUAUUAUCGCCUUCCUAUUUGUUUACUUCAGUCGAAUCAAUACGUGCUAAUUGUUUUAAUUGAUUGCAUGUUUUUGGGGCACCACUGAGCUUUAGCUCACCCCACGUUUAAUUGUUUUCCUUGACAGGUCUUGAAGUUUGAGAAAUCUGAGCAGUGCUGAUUUCUUUUAAUUUGUACUUGAAUCUUAAGACUGCAGUUUACCGUUGUAUUGUAUUGUGAAUUGAAAAACGUAUUGGUUAUUUUGGAUUGCCACUUGAAGCUGGAAAAUGUUUAAACCCUAAUUAUUAUGUUUGGCUUGUAUGGUUGUAAUCGUGGUGUGUGACAGUAUAUAUCCGGAUUGGUACGACCUUAUACCUUAGAGGUAACGCGUGAGAUGUAUAAGAGCCGUCGACUGGCUAUCUUCUUUACUGCUAUCUCUGAAGUUAAUGUAGAUUUAAGGAUGAUCCUAUCUGGGAAAAGUUGUUUUGUAACAGAUUAGGUUAUUCUUCGGAAGGAUCCGGGUUAGUGUGCGUGCGUGAGUCCUGGCGAGAGCUGGGCAGACGGCCCGCCAACCCUCUGGUUCGCCUUAGGGGGAAGUGGGGUCGUCACAGUAAUACUCGAGUAUACCGAUUAGUCGAGGAGAUAUCACUCCACUCGACAUAACUAACGACCCAUGGUUCGUUAUCUAAUCGACCAAGCCCUUGCCGACUCGACUCGAUUAACUAGCCAAUGGGGUUUGGGUUCCCAAGAAGUCGAUGAGAUAACCUCUCCAAUCGACGAAAUUAAGAUAAAAGUAUGGAAACGGGAAUGAGAGGCACCUCCCACUUGGAUUGAGUGUGGUACAUACUGCAGCUCCACACUUACAAAUCAAGUACAGGUAUAUCAAGUUAAUUGCAACAAUAAACAAGUAUAAAUCAUGUUAGGGCAAGUGCGAUAAAAUACACUCUUGCCCGAUCAACAAAUCUCAUAUCAAUUAUGUACAAGUAUUGUGAACAAGUGUCCAGGUCAACCAGGUAUUUGGAAGCACUCACCCAAAAUGCGGUGCCUUUACGAGUUACGUUCGGGUAUUACUCCGUGUGCGAAGUCCAAAUCUGCGAUAAAACAUUGUUUAAGAACUUUUAAAAGUAACUAAGGCUCGAAACUUAAACGUUUCGUUCAAUAAGAAUCAAGAAAUUGAAAUUCACUAGGAGAAUAUUAGUGAAACACUCGCUCGCUUUUCAAACUAUAUAACUUUGUAGCAUUAUACUUGGAAAUGUCAUUUGAGUCAAAAGUGCAAGGAAAACGUAUUCCGAGCAGUCAUUAUUUUAUUUGAAAGAAGAUGUAAUAUCCUAGAUGGUUCAAGCAGUAAUCACUCUUAACCCUUACUCAAGUUGCAAGUUUGUCUACCUAGCCCUUGAACGUAAAUUUGGGCAGCACGCCCUUUGUAUUUUCCUAUUUCCAGUAAUUUAUGGCUUCAUUCUUUUCUUCAAUCAAACCCAAAGUUAUACACCAAACAAUCUCAGUCCAAUAGCCAUUCAAUAGGCUCAAGGUAAUACAAGUACAAAAUCAACUAAUGACAUGUACGGAAAUGAAGUUUAGCAAAAGACAGAUUUGACAUGAUUUUGCGUAACGGACACAAUCGAAACUACGCUUAUCGGAUUAGGAUGCAAUUUGUGCCAUUUCGAAGCUAAGACAUAGGGGUACAAUUCUGAUGAAGACCACUUUGUCCAAAUUCCAGUGUAACCUAGUCAAAUUCCCAAUUCACAGAACCAAAUUCCAACUAAUUAGCUAAUUAACUAUACUACCUUUAAAUGGCCAUAUCUCAAGCUACCAAAGUCCGUUUAAGACGUUCUUAGAGGCGUUGAAAAGCUAAGACAAAGUACUAAAACUUUCAUGUUAUGGCUAAAAGCUAGUUCAGUACGUAUCAAGGUGAACAAAUGCAACCAACUUAGUGUACUGGCAAAACUGUUCGCUGAUUUUACUCCUAGGGUAGUCAGGGUAUUUUCAUCUUUUCACAGGCUACGUUGCUCCGAUUGAGCUGAAAUUUUGUAGGCAACCAUAAAAUGUCAUUCUAUACAACUUUUAUGUUUUGUUCCAAGCCUGAUUCGGCCUCUAACAUGAUGAAAUAAAAUCAGGCAGAACUGAAGCUAAAUUUUCCAGAAAUCUGGAAUUUUUGUUAUUUCAAACUAUAAUUCAUAUUUUCACCUUGAAACUACCACUACUAUCACCUUUACAAGAUCAUAUACCACAUAUAUGCAUUAUACAACACCUAACCCACAAGAAACCCUAACUCAAAAGCCAUCCAUCCAAUCAUCAAAACUCUUAGAAACAAGCAUCACAAGCACUAUACUAACAUUAAUACCCAACUUAAUCAUGAUUAAUGGAGAAUGAAUGGUUGAUCAGCCAUUAUACCUCAAGACAAGACCUUGCUAGGAUGAUCCUUCUCCUCUCCUUGAAAUUCUUGGUUCCUUAGGCUUCCCAAGCUUCCAACUAGUGAUUAAUCGGUUUAGUUUUUCUUGGUUGCACUCAAAUGGUUGGAUUCAAGGUAGAAGAUGGAAAACUCUCUUCACUCUCUUGCUCCUCUUGCUCUCAGCCAAAAACAAAAAGAAAUGAGGGAAAAAUUGUAAGGACUCGAAAAUUCUAUUAUUUAAAAAUUCCUAAUUUUUGGCUAAAUUAAUUUUUUAAUUGGAUUUUGCCACAAAUAAUAUUUUCUAGCCUUAUUAGACCUAAGUACAUGGUUUUAUAGUUUCGUUAUAUUUUUAAAGUAUCUCAUUUCAAAAAUUAUUUUCUUAAAAGCUUGAUUAGUGAGAAGUGAAAGCGUGUCUGAAAACUUUAGUCAAUUGGGAGUACAAUAAGCUCAAAAAUUUGAGACAUAUACAAUGGUCCUAAAAUAGGCAAUUUUAGGUUUAAAAACUCAAGUGAUAGUUAGUAGUACGAUCGUUAUAAGAAUUUCUCGAAGGUUUCAUUUUAUCGCGCCUAAAUUGGGAAUACGUGUUUUCACGUGCACGCUUAAUUGAGGGAUCUUGGACCAUUAUUUUGGGACAAUUAAGAAUGAAUAAUAUUUAUAUGAAUAUAGGUGCCCUAGAGGUUUAGUGCACUAGUGCAACAAACUUAAGAGAAAUCGAACACAAAACGCGCGCGUAAGCGCACUAGUUGCAGUUGAUUUUUACGUACUUAAAAUAUUAGACGGUCAGCGUUCCUUGUACGCAAUAGAAUCAGCAAAACAUAUCAUUUCUUCAAGCUCCAUGGACGGCUAGCAGUCAAAAAGGGAGCAACCAAAAACUUUCAACAUUUCCUCUACAAAAACUCACUCAAAUCACCACCAAACCUUCAUAGAUUCACACCAAACUUCACAUACACUUCGCUCUUCACUUGGACAACAUUUUGAGCUUCAAAAGGGAGGAGCUUUUACGGUUUCUUGGAGCCUUUUGAGGACCGAAAUUCUCUGAUCUAAAGCACUAAGGAGGUAUAACAUCAUCCAACACCUUAAGCUUGCUUUAUGGUAGUAGAAGUGCAUCUCUAAGCAAUUGCAUGUAUUUGGAUGACUUGAUAUUGUUGGAAAUUUGAAAAGUGGGCUCUAUGAAUUCCCACUCUUGGGUUGUUGCUGAUAAGAGGUUUAAUGUUGGAUUUAAUGGUAGUUUAGUGGUUAAAAUGAUAGAUUUAUGGAGUAUUAUUGUUGGAAACUCAAAGUGGAGGUCAUGACAAAAUUUUCCGAAACUGCCCCUGCUUUGUUCGGCCAUGAUAAGGCCAAUUUUUGAUGAUCUAAUGGCUUGAACCUGAUGCUUAUAUGUUGUAUUAGAUGUGUAAAAAUUGUCAUUGGAAAACAUUAACGUUUGGAUGGGCAAAUGAAUUUAUUUGUGGACUAGUCAAGCUGGAAAACUGUUUUCGGAUAACCCUGUCCAUCGGUAGCAUUUUGACCAUAACUUUGUCUUCCGACGUCGAAAUUGGGUGCUGUCAGUGGCAUUUGAAACUAGACAUCAAUACCUUUCCAAAGGUAUAAAAUACGUAUUCUGAUUCCAUAUGUAGGAGCCGGACCAUUCAUUUUAAGAUAGCUGUCCUGUUUCUCUGUUUUGCUGGAAUGAUUUGUGGAGGCAGCAACUUGAGGCUCAAUUUCGAGCCGGUUGUUUGCCAAAUUUCAUAAUGUUUCCUUCUGUGAAUUUUUAUCCCUAUGAAUGUAUUUUCCAAUGCCGUAAACUAUGCUCAAUUCCGAGUUAGGUCGACUGAAUUGUGAUCAAAACAAGAACACUGCUCUGUUUUGGAAAAAAACCCAGUUUUGGACAGAUUUGAGAUGAGACUUGUUGUGGUCUUACUAAAUGAAAUUCUUGGUGUUAAACACCUACCAAAUGUACCAUGAAUGAUCCUUAGACUUUCCUUUCGCAUAUGAACCAUGAUUGGAGGAUUUUCUUAGCCAAACGAUUGGAUUUGGAAAGAAAAGGAUUACAGGCAGAUUGCCUUAAGAAUUUUUCCGAACUUUAGUUGGUUCGUUGACUACCUUCCCGAAGGUAUUUUUCUGUGAAACUUGAUAGAGAGAUACCCCUCAUAUAAGAGUAAAAUACUGCCAAUUUUGGAACCAAUCCAAGUUCAUUUCGAUACCUAACUAAACUUCUGGUGUUGGAAGUUCAAAUCUGGAAAUUCUUCUCCAACUUCAAGCUACCGUAUUUCGGUACUCGAAACUCCGAUUCUUGAUCCUCUUACUCUGCUAUAAACCUCACUUGCAACUCUAUUUGAGUUACAAAUUUCAGGGGCCGAUUCGCAACGAGUGAAUCGUGCCGAAUUUUCAAAGUUGGCCAAAAUCCAACUUAAUUCUGCCUUGUGAACCGAGUCAGUAUCUUCAAGCUCAUUUUUGAGCACUUUCCACUUCGAUUCAUGGAAAAGUGUCUUCUAGGAACUUGUAGUAAUUUCUAAGAGUUUUCCAACGGUAUAAAGUUUUCCAAUUCUCGACUUAUACCGAGUGAGUUACGAUUUUUCCAAGAUUCAUAAUAAAACUGAAAUUUUCCAACUUUCAAGGAAAUAUAGUUUUUCAAGAACUCUUUAUUCUUUUGAUAUUAUCUAAACGUUUUAUCCCCGAUUUCCUAGAUAAAGACUUAAAUACUUUUGAAUGUUAUCAAACACCUCUCGAACCUCGAUUUACGAGUAAUUGAGGUUCAUUUUCACGGAAUUCCCUAGAUUAAUACUAGUGAACGAAUUAUUCCUCGAUAUUUGGGAUAUGGAUGAUAAUUCACUAUUAUUUGCUCAAGCGCACACGAGGACCUUCAAGAGGAUCCCACGGUGGACACUUGAACUUUCCUUGACCUUACUUACACCUAAUACUUGGUGAGUGUCAGGUGUAUGUAAACUUGUUACAUGUUUAAUUGCUAUUAAUGAUUGGAAAUCUUUAAAUUGGAGUCGAGUGUGUACUUUACCACACUCGUUCUCAUUAGAAAUGAAAUAGUAAUGAUUGAAAUGUAUUGAAUGAAUGAUUGAAAUGCAUUGAAUGAAUGAUUGAAAUGGAUUGAAUGAAUGAAUGAAAUGUAAUGGUAUGCUAUAGCUGCAUACAUCGUUGGAGUGAAUCUCCUCGACAUACAAGUGCACAUGGGGACGCCCAAAUCUCAUUGGCCGACCUUGGACUCGAGCCGGCAUGGGUUUGGUCGGGAACCUUGGCGAGUCAUGAGAUAUAUAAGCUCGACCUAGUAAGAGGUCUUGCUUGGCAUACUCGAGUAGUAUCGCCACAAACAAAUGACAGGCGGGCCCAAAACAGGGGUAUGUAAGGUGAAAGGGGACAGGUUAAGUGGAGUUCUACGGACUAAACCUACCUGAUUGACGGAGUGUCAAUUCGUGGAGGUUAUUGAAUGUGCAAGUGGAAUAUAGCUCCUGAGGGCUCCAGUAUCCUUGAAUUGUUUCUGGUCAUAUUUCCAAUAAAUUGUUAAUUACUAAAAUAUGAUUGCUUGACUUGUAAAUUGAGAUUGUUAUUUGAGCAAUGUGCUUGUAUGUGUGUUCUUGGCCUCACGAGCGUUUUGCUCACCCCGUAGAUUUGUUUUCCUUAACAGGACUGGAUCCGGGGACGUAUUGGAGAAGCCUUCCUGAUGUACUUUUGUUUAGGGUUUCUAUCUUCAUUUUGACUACGCCUCUUGGUUUUGGGUUGUACUUUUGUAAUUGGAGUGUAGUACUUGGGCAUGAGGUAAAUUUGGGUUUAAAGUUGUAUUUUGAACACCCGAUGUACGGGUUGGAUAAUGGUUGACCAUGGUUAGCUUGAACGCUUCCGCAUCAUUGUAUUUAUGUUGUUGUACUUAUGACUUUUAGAGUAGUAAUAAGUUUGAAUGUUUUGCGUGAGUCCUGGCGAGAGCUGGGCAGGCGUCCCGCAGAUACCCUUUGGUUCGCCUUAGGGAGAAGUGGGGGCGUCACAGUUGGUAUCAGAGCGCUAGAUUAGAGAUCUAUAUGGGAGACAUAUUGGAUACUCUACCCUUAAAACCUAAGACCGGAUAAUUUAGUUAUACCUUAAGAGGUAUUUGGGGCAUACUAGAGCUUGGGUUAGGCAUGCAUAAACGACAUCCGAAUUAGAUAGCGAUUUAAAUUUCUAACCCGAAAGGUGCUAUUAUUUUGUAGGGAUGGAAAACGGAAAUGGAGUUCCGGCAGCUAACGGGAAUGGCCAUGCGAAUGGUCAUGUAGUGCCUCCUAGGCCUAUCUACUACCGAGCUUUAGGUGGGGGAGCUCGUGUACGCUACUCGCCUGUUACUCGAUACCCCCGAUGUGCUUGUAGGGUUACCUUUGCUUACCCGAACUACCUUGUGCUUGCUCUGGACGACGAGCGUCGUCAGCUAGUGGAUCUUAAUAGGGAUCUUCAGACAGAGGUGGACGAGCUUAGACAGAUGGUUAGCGCUCAGGGUGAGCGGAUUGCCGAGCUCGAGGAGGUGAUCGAGGGUGAGGUGGCCACAUCUGCUGUGGUCCGUGAUGAGCUUCAGAAUACUAGGUCUCAGCUUACUAGGUUGAGGGAGGAGGUCCGUAGUAGGGCUUCCGAUAUCGUAGCUGAUGCCACUAGGCUAGUGGAGGAUGCGAUGGAGGUAGCUCCUAGUCCUGAGGAGGAGGAUCCAGAGGAAGAUCCUGAGGAGGAGGUUCCUCCUGAUAGUCCUACUGUGGACUAGGUCAUGGCAGUUUGACCACUCUUUUGACUCUUUUGACUAGUAUAGCUAGAAUUAGCAGGGGUGAUACUAAGUGCUGAGACCAUUGUAUUUUGCAUGACUGUGUGGCUUAUUUUGGAAGUACUUGCUUUUACUUUAGUCUUCUGUGACUAAAAGUACUCUUGUGGCACCUGUGUGCUAUAUUGUUGUGACUACCCCAUGACUUGCUAAUUGUAUGAACUUGAUAUGCUAAUUAAUGUAAAUUAUUGUUAUAUCCAAUAUUUUCUUGAUUGGUUCCUGCUUUCUACUUUGCAUCGCAUAAUUUAUUUAUUUCUUGCACUAGGCACGCCUAGGUCAUGGAAGGAGUAAGAGGUGGUCGAGGCCGUGGGCGAGGGACUAGACCAGCCCAACCUCAGGGGAAUAACCAGGGAUCAGCAACUGGACCGACCCAGGGCCAGCAAAAUAUAGAGGGUAAUCUUGUGGCUACUGCCAUUAAUAGGAUGACUGAUAUCCUAGAGCGUUUGGCUGAUAGACAAGACCCUGGACCGUUCAACCAACCUGGGGAUCAGGGAAGAGGAGAGGAUAGAGCCUUAGAGAGGUUCUUGAAAUUUAACCCGCCUAAGUUUCUUGGCGAACCUGAUCCCGAGGUGGCAGAGAAUUGGUUGGAAAGGAUGACCAACAUUUUUGCUGCUUUAGACUACACUGAAGAUAGGCGAGUGAAUUUCGCUGCUUUCCAAUUUGAGGGAGUAGCCCGUGCUUGGUGGGAUUUGAUAAAAGGAAAAUGGGAGAGAACUCAAACCCCUUGGACUUGGAAAAACUUCACAAGGGAAUUUAAUGAAAAGUUUCUUCCGCCCUUAAUCCAAGAGAAGAGGGAGGAUGAAUUUAUUAAGCUGAAACAGGGAACUCUUAGUGUAGCGGAGUAUGAAGAAAAAUUUACUAAGCUUUCCAAGUAUGCCCCUGAGCUAGUGGUCAAUGAACGAAAGAGGAUUAGACGGUUUAUUCAGGGACUUAAUGUGGAGAUACAAGAGGGCUUGGCUGCAACCCAAAUCUCUACAUUCACGGAGGCACUAGAGAAAGCUCAGAGGGUAGAAAAUGCAAGGAUGCAAGUGAGGGACUUCCACAGUAGAAAAAGAAACUUUCCUAGCCAUACCUCUGGUCAAGCAAGUAAGAGUGCACAACCUUCCAAGAUGGGAAGAGGAGUUGGAGGAGUGAAGUCUGUUGGAGCUUCUAGGGGAGCUCUAACUAGAGGGGGCCGUAGUGGGACAACUCAAGUUAGGGGAGCACCUCCUACUGGAUCGGCUGUGACUCCUCAAGUUACAUGUGGAUACUGCGAUAAAUCCAACCAUUCUGAGAACGAUUGCUGGAGAAAGUCGGGGAAAUGUUUAUUUUGUGGUAGUACUGAACAUCAAGUCGCCAAUUGUCCAAAAUCACCAAAGACAGGGGGAAAUGCUCAAAGGCCAGAAAAGUCAACUUCUAAGCAGACCAGUGCCGGAGGGAGCCGACUGAAAGUACCGGCCAGGGUUUAUGCACUGGAUUAUCAACAAGUUCCUGAGGCAACUGAGGUGGUAGAAGGUACAAUCCCAAUCUUUCACCGUUUAACUAGGGUCUUGAUUGAUCCGGGUGCAACUCAUUCCUUUGUAAAUCCUAACUUCAUGAAUGGGAUAGACUUGAAGCCAAUUAAGUUACCCUAUGACUUGGAGGUUAAAACACCUACUGGAGACAAAAGCUUAAUUGCUAAUCUGGAGUAUAGGAAUAGUGAAAUCUAUGUAGGGGAACGAAAAUUAUGGGCCGAUUUGAUCGGUUUGACGAUUAAGGGAUACGAUGUAAUCUUGGGAAUGGAUUGGUUAGCUUGUUAUAAUGCUCAGUUAGACUGUAGGACGAAGAUUGUAGAGUUGCGUAUUCCAGGAGAAGCAACUCUGAAACUGGAUGUAAGGGGUAGAUUAGUUUCGUCUGCACUUAUUUCAGGAAUUCGGGCUAGAAAAUUUUUAAGUAAAGGAGCUCAAGGGUAUUUGGUUUUUCUUAUUAACACUCCCAGUGAUAAGAUGAAUUUGGAAGACACACCGGUAGUAAAGGAUUUUUCAGAUGUUUUUCCUGAAAAAUUGGAGUCUCUACCCCCGGAACGGGAUAUAGCUUUUAAGAUCGAUGUGAUUCCGGGAGUGGCACCUAUUUCUAGAACACCAUAUCGGAUGGCUCCAGCGGAAUUGAAAGAGUUAAAAUUACAACUGCAAGACCUGUUGGAAAGGGGAUUUAUAAAAGAGAGUGAUUCUCCGUGGGGAGCCCCAGUUUUAUUUGUUAAGAAAAAGGAUGGGAGUUUGAAACUGUGUAUAGACUAUAGAGGUUUGAAUGACAUCACCAUUAAGAAUAAAUACCCACUGCCCCACAUUGACGAGUUGUUUGACCAAUUGCAAGGAGCUGUAGUAUUCUCGAAAUUGGAUUUGAGACAGGGUUAUUACCAGUUGAGGAUUUUGGAGAAAGACAUACCCAAGACUGCUUUUAACUCGAGAUAUGGGCAUUUUGAGUUUGCCGUGAUGCCAUUUGGGUUAACAAAUGCUCCUGCUGCUUUUGUGGACUUAAUGCAUAGGGUCUUUAAACCUUAUCUAGACCAAUUUGUGGUGGUUUUUAUUGAUGACAUAUUGGUGUAUUCUAAGAAUGUGAAAGACCAUGAGAAACACUUGAGGGUUGUUUUACAAACCUUAAGGGAACACCAAUUGUAUGCUAAGUUUAGCAAGUGUGAGUUUUGGUUAAAAGAAGUGACAUUCUUGGGACACAUAAUUUCUAAGGAUGGGAUUAAAGUGGAUCCAGCUAAAGUUGAAACUGUUUCGAAAUGGAAACGACCGGAAAACCCUAUCGAGAUUCGGAGUUUUAUUGGAUUAGCAGGGUAUUAUCGGAGAUUCAUUCAGGAUUUUUCAAAAAUUGCUGGACCCAUGACUGAAUUGAUCAAGAAAAAUGGGAAGUUUAUAUGGAGUCCUAAGUGUGAGGAAAGUUUUCAGGAAUUGAAAAGAAGGUUAACAAGGGCACCUGUGUUAGCUUUGCCAAACGGAAAGGAUAGUUUUGUGGUUUACACGGAUGCCCUAAGGAAGGUUUGGGAUGUGUUUUGAUGCAAAAUGAUAAAGUGAUAGCAUAUGCCUCUAGAAAAUUGAAACCGCAUGAAAGGAAUUACCCGACUCAUGAUUUGGAGUUGGCGGCUGUGGUCUUUGCUUUGAAGAAAUGGAGACAUUAUUUGUAUGAAGUAACAUUCGAGGUUUUUACAGAUCACAAAAGCCUUAAGUACUUGUUUUCUCAAAAAGAGCUGAAUUUGAGGCAACGUAGAUGGAUGGAAUUUUUGGAAGACUAUGAUUGCACUAUUAAGUACCAUCCUGGGAAGGCCAAUGUAGUGGCCGAUGCUUUGAGCCGUCAAGUACAAAUGGCUAGAUUGAUGAUUAAGAAGUUUCAAUUAUUGCAAGAAGUGAGUUACUGGAAUCCUCGAUUGGAACCAAGGAAGGUAAUUUUGGGGAAUAUUAUAGUAACUUUCACUUUAUUGAAACGUAUUAAGGAAUUUCAAAAAAAAGGACACGGAAGUGCAAAAAUGGGCGGAAAAAGUUAAAAUGGGAGACAAGACAGAUUUUAAUCUGGGGUCAGAUGGAAUAUUGAGGUUUCAGAAUCGAGUAGUUGUGCCAAAGGAUGAAGGGCUUAAAAGAGAAAUCUUAGAAGAGGCACACCGAUCAAACUUUACAGUACAUCCAGGAGGGAAUAAAAUGUACCAAGACUUAAAGAGUCUGUAUUGGUGGGAGAACAUGAAGAAGAAAAUUGCCCAAUUUGUCCAAACCUGCUUAAUUUGUCAACAGGUUAAAGCCGAACAUCAGAAACCAUCAGGACUUUUGCAAUCUCUAGAAAUACCCGAGUGGAAAUGGGAGAAUAUCACUAUGAAUUUUGUAUUGGGAUUACCAAGAACACAGAGAGGCCAUGAUGCGAUUUGGGUAAUAGUGGAUAGAUUGACCAAGUCGGCCCAUUUUCUGCCGAUUAACAUGAAGUACCCGUUGGAGAAGUUGGCUAGGUUGUAUUUGGAUGAGAUCAUUAGAUUGCAUGGCAUACCUGUGAGUAUCGUGUCCGACAGGGAUCCGAGAUUUGUUUCGAGGUUCUGGCAAAAGAUGCAAGAGGUAUUGGGGACUAAGUUGAACUUUAGUACCACUUAUCAUCUCCAGACUGACGGACAGUCGGAAAGGACAAUUCAAACACUUGAGGACAUGUUAAGGACUUGUGUUCUGGACUUUGGAGAAAAUUGGAGUAAGUUUUUGACUUUAGUGGAAUUUGCCUACAACAAUAGUUUCCACUCUUCUAUUCAGAUGGCCCCGUAUGAGGCACUUUAUGGUCGGAAAUGUAGGUCUCCAAUUUGUUGGGACGAAAUAGGUGAACGGAAAAUCUUAGACCCGACCACAGUGCCUUGGAUUGAGGAAGCUAAUGAGAAGGUAAAGUUGGUACGACAAAGAAUUCAGACCGCUCAGAGCCGUCAAAAGAGUUAUGCUGAUAAUCGGAGAAAAGAUUUGGAGUUUACUGUUGGAGAUUUGGUAUUUCUCAGAAUCACGCCCUUGAAAGCAAGGUUGAUGUCUGGAAAAGGAAAGAAGUUACAGCCAAGGUUUGUAGGACCUUACAAGAUUAUCCAACGUGUGGAGAGUGUAGCUUAUAAAUUGGAGUUACCGCCGAGUUUAUUUCGAAUUCAUAAUGUGUUCCAUGUAUCUAUGCUUAAAAGGUACCACCCAGACCCAUCACAUGUCUUACAACCAGAGAGUAUUGAGAUUGAUGAGACCUUAACUUAUGAGGAGAAGCCGGUUAAGCUUCUAGAUAGGAAGGUGAAGGAAUUGAAAAAUAAAUAGAUACCAUUAGUAAAAGUUCUUUGGAAUAACCAUGGGUUGGAGGAAGCAACUUGGGAGGUCGAAGAAGCAAUUCGAGAAAAGUAUCCAGGCCAGUUCACCAAUCAAGGUAAAUUUCGAGGACGAAAUUUCUUAAGGGGGAGAGGAUGUGAGGACUCGAAAAUUCUAUUAUUUAAAAAUCCCUAAUUUUUGGCUAAAUUAAUUUUUUAUUUGGAUUUUGCCACAAAUAAUAUUUUCUAGCCUUAUUAGACCUAAGUACAUGGUUUUAUAGUUUCGUUAUAUUUUUAAAGUAUCUCAUUUCAAAAAUUAUUUUCUUAAAAGCUUGAUUAGUGAGAAGUGAAAGCGUGUCUGAAAACUUUAGUCAAUUGGGAGUACAAUAAGCUUAAAAAUUUGAGACAUAUACAAUGGUCCUAAAAUAGGCAAUUUUAGGUUUAAAAACUCAAGUGAUAAUUAGUAGUACGAUCGUUAUAAAAAUUUCUCGAAAAUUUCAUUUUAUCGCGCCUAAAUUGGGAAUACGUGUUUUCACGUGCGCGCUUAAUUGAGGGACCUUGGACCAUUAUUUUGGGACAAUUAAGAAUGAAUAAUAUUUAUAUGAAUAUAGGUGCCCUAGAGGUUUAGUGCACUAGUGCAACAAACUUAAGAGAAAUCGAACACAAAACGCGCGCGUAGGCGCACUAGUUGCAGUUGAUUUUUACGUACUUAAAAUAUUAGACGGUCAGCGUUCCUUGUACGCAAUAGAAUCAGCAAAACAUAUCAUUUCUUCAAGCUCCAUGGACGGCUAGCAGUCAAAAAGGGAGCAACCAAAAACUUUCAACAUUUCCUCUACAAAAACUCACUCAAAUCACCACCAAACCUUCAUAGAUUCACACCAAACUUCACAUACACUUCGCUCUUCACUUGGACAACAUUUUGAGCUUCAAAAGGGAGGAGCUUUUACGGUUUCUUGGAGCCUUUUGAGGACCGAAAUUCUCUGAUCUAAAGCACUAAGGAGGUAUAACAUCAUCCAACACCUUAAGCUUGCUUUAUGGUAGUAGAAGUGCAUCUCUAAGCAAUUGCAUGUAUUUGGAUGACUUGAUAUUGUUGGAAAUUUGAAAAGUGGGCUCUAUGAAUUCCCACUCUUGGGUUGUUGCUGAUAAGAGGUUUAAUGUUGGAUUUAAUGGUAGUUUAGUGGUUAAAAUGAUAGAUUUAUGGAGUAUUAUUGUUGGAAACUCAAAGUGGAGGUCAUGACAAAAUUUUCCGAAACUGCCCCUGCUUUGUUCGGCCAUGAUAAGGCCAAUUUUUGAUGAUCUAAUGGCUUGAACCUGAUGCUUAUAUGUUGUAUUAGAUGUGUAAAAAUUUUCAUUGGAAAACAUUAACGUUUGGAUGGGCAAAUGAAUUUAUUUGUGGACUAGUCAAGAUGGAAAACUGUUUUCGGAUAACCCUGUCCAGCGGUAGCAUUUUAACCAUAACUUUGUCCUCCGAUGUCAAAAUUGGGUGCCGUCGGUGGCAUUUGAAACUAGACAUCCAUAGCUUUCCAACGGUGUAAAAUAUGUAUUCUUAUUCCAUAUGUAGGAGCCGGACCAUUCAUUUUAAUAUAGCUGUCCUGUUUCUCUGUUCUGCUGGAAUAAUUUGUGGAGGCAGCAACUUGAGGCUCAAUUUCGAGCCGGUUUUUUGCCAAAUUUCAUAAUGUUUCCUUCUGUGAAUUUUUAUUCCUAUGAAUUUAUUUUCCAACGCCGUAAACUAUGCUCAAUUCCGAGUUAGGUCGACUGAAUUGUGAUCAAAACAAGAACACUGCUCUGUUUUGGAAAAAAACCCAGUUUUGGACAGAUUUGAGAUGAGACUUGUUGUGGUCUUACAAAAUGAAAUUCUUGGUGUUAAACACCUACCAAAUGUACCAUGAAUGAUCCUUAGACUUUCCUUUCGCAUAUGAACCAUGAUUGGAGGAUUUUCUUAGCCAAACGAUUGGAUUUGGAAAGAAAAGGAUUACAGGCAGAUUGCCUUAAGAAUUUUUCUGAACUUUAGUUGGUUCGUUGACUACCUUCCCGAAGGUAAUUUUCUGUGAAACUUGAUAGAGAGAUACCCCUCAUAUAAGAGUAAAAUACUGCCAAUUUUGGUACCAAUCCAAGUUCGUUUCGAUACCUAACUAAACUUCUGGUGUUGGAAGUUCAAAUUUGGAAAUUCUUCUCCAGUCUUGAAAUUUCUCCAACUUCGAGCUACCGUAUUUCGGUACUCGAAACUCCGAUUCUUGAUCCGCUUGCUCUGCUAUAAACCUCACUUGCAACUCUAUUUGAGUUACAAAUUUCAGGGGCCGAUUCGUAACGAGUGAAUCGUGCCGAAUUUUCAAAGUUGGCCAAAAUCCAACUUAAUUCUACCUUGUGAACCGAGUCAGUAUCUUCAAGCUCAUUUUUGAGCACUUUCCACUUCGAUUCAUGGAAAAGUGUCUUCUAGGAACUUGUAGUACUUUCUAAUAGGUUUCCAACGGUAUAAAGUUUUCCAAUUCUUGACUUAUGCCGAGUGAGUUACGAUUUUUCCAAAAUUCAUAAUAAAACUGAAAUUUUCCAACUUUCAAGGAAAUACAGUUUUUCAAGAACUCUUUAUUCUUUUGAAAUUAUCUAAAUGUUUUAUCCCCGAUUUCCUAGAUAAAGACUUAAAUACUUUUGAAUGUUAUCAAACACCUCUCGAACCUCGAUUUACGAGUAAUUGAGGUUCAUUUUCACGGAAUUCCCUAGAUUAAUACUAGUGAACGAAUUAUUCCUCGAUAUUUGGGAUAUGGAUGAUAAUUCACUAUUAUUUGCUCAGGCGCACACGAGGACCUUCAAGAGGAUCCCACGGUGGACGCUUGAACUUUCCUUGACCUUACUUACACCUAAUACUUGGUGAGUGUCAGGUGUAUGUAAACUUGUUACAUGUUUAAUUGCUAUUAAUGAUUGGAAAUCUUUAAAUUGGAGUCGAGUGUGUACUUUACCACACUCGUUCUCAUUAGAAAUGAAAUAGUAAUGAUUGAAAUGUAUUGAACGAAUGAUUGAAAUGCAUUGAAUGAAUGAUUGAAAUGUAUUGAAUGAAUGAAUGAAAUGUAAUGGUAUGCUAUAGCUGCAAAUGUCGUUGGAGUGAAUCUCUUCGACACACAAGUGCACAUGGGGACGUCCAAAUCUCAUUGGCCGACCUUGGACUCGAGCCAGCAUGGGCUUGGUCGGGAACCUUGGCGAGCCAUGAGAUAUAUAAGCUCGACCUAGUGAGAGGUCUUGCUUGGCAAACUCGAGUAGUAUCGCCACAAACAAAUGACAGGCGGGCCCGAUACAGGGGUAUGUAAGGUGAAAGGGGACAGGUUAAGUGGAGUUGAUGCGGAUACGGGCGUGCAACAACUCCAACCUUGGGUCAAGGACCCUUUGAUCAACAUUGGUGGUCCGAUGACAAGAUCAAGAACCAAGAAGGUGAUACAAGUAAGGAGCAAGCUAGGUUUGAAGAUUUGAUGGACCAUGAAGUUACUUUGUUCACUUGUGCAUUUGAAGUAAAGGAGUGAUCUCAUACUUGUUAGUUUAGUUGGUAGUUGUUUUAAGACUGUCUAGUUUUUAAGUUGUUAGGUGUUGAGUAUUUUAUUACUUAUCGGGCCUUAUCGGAAAGCCUUAAAGAGCUAGCUCUUUAAGCUCUUUUAUGCGGACCGAAUCUCUUCCAGAUUUAUGUGGGCCGGAUUUUGCCCUAGUUUUAGCUUAUAAAAAGGCACCUCUUGUAAGAGUAAAAGACAGAUUAUUACAACCAGAAAUCGUGAGGAAUUUUCCUUCAAGUUCUUAAUCGAACUUACUCUUGAAUUCUUGAGUUCAUAGCUUAGGAUUCAAAUUAGACUUUAUCGAUUAGCUUGUUCCCUAAUCGUGGUGUCGCUUCAUCCAUCCUUAUUUGCUUAAGGUUGCUGAUUACCUUUGUGUGUCAGAGGUCUUGAGUUCAUGAGAACAAUCGAGUUCAAUUUCUAUUGGGAGAAAAGAUCAAACUCUGAUAAUUACAAGGUUGGGAGGUUCUAGGAAGGUCUUCCCCUAGGGUUGCCUAUAUCAGUUGGUAAUCAGAGCAUCAGGUUAAUUCUCUUUUAAUUGAAGUUGUUCAUAUCAUGCUAGUUUGUCUUUUUUCCAAAAAAAAAAAAAAACUGUAGCGAUUACUGUUCAUCGUUACUGUUCCGAAUACUGUUCAUCGUACUGUAGCGUACUGUUCACGUUACUGUUCAUCCGAGUCAAAAAAAAAUUUGUUUGGGUGUUGUCUUUUUGUGUUUUUUCUGUCCAAGUUCUUGGGUUUGUUAUACUUGUGUUUGGGUUGUUAGGGUUUAAAGAAAAAAAAAAAAGAGUCACGUACCAUAUAUUGUUUUAGUGUCCAAGUUGCUAGAGUAUUGCUGGAAUUUUCUUUUGAGUAUUGCUGAAAUUCUGUUUUGCCUAUUUCUUGAGUAUUGGUUGUUGUUCUUGCAAACCCUAAACACCACAACGUAAUUUGGGAAAAUUCUUGUGUUUCUUGAACAAAUUCUUGAAGUUCUUGGACCACCAAGUCUUGUUUUGAAAAUUCUUGAACAAUAAACCAAGAACUAGGGUUUUCUUGGAAUUGGCAUAACCUUUCAUCCGUUUCUUGAACUUGUUGGUGUGAUCUGAAUUUGUGUUCCUUGAAGAUCCGAAAAAAAAAGAGAAAGAAAAAAAAAGGAAGAAGAGAAGGAAUUGGCUCUCAUACAAAGGAAAUCAAGUUUCCAAAAAAAUAAAAAAAUAAAAAUCGCGAGUUUCCAAUUCUUGGUGGGUUCCCAAAUCUUGGUUAAUCUCCAAAUCUUGGUUGAUUUCCCAAAACUUGGGUUUCCUAAUUUUGAUUGGUUUCCAACUCUUGAGUUCCAAUCUUAAUUGAAUUUCAACGACUCCAAACUACCUAACCAGACCCCAAGCACCCCAAAAUCAGUUUCCAAAACCAAACCUAAACCGCCACAAACACCUUAGCCACACCGCCUUUAAAUUCUUGGGUUUCUAAAAUCGGUUGAGCUAGUCUUUGCGAGCCGAUUUCCCUGAAAUUGGAGGACUGGUUCUUGCAUUAUUUGAACAUCCCAAAAGCACCACUUACCCUCCAAAAUACUGACCAGAAACUCAGCAAAACAGCAGCUCAAAAAAAAAAAAAAAAGUUCCAGCUUCGGUUAGAGUUUUUCUAGGAUUUACAAAAUUCUGCUUUGUGUCUUAUUACUUGCUUAUAGGGUAAUUAAUUCUGGAAUUUUUGAGAGUUUGAGUUGUUUUAAGAACUUCGAGAAGGAAAAUUGAGAGUGAGUGUGUUUUCUUGAGUGAUACAUGAGUGCUUUGCAAGGUAGACUAGGAUACACUUGUUUUGCAGGUUGGACAAUAUGUCUCAAGAGGGGAACAUGCCUGAGCCGUCUGAGACCGACGUGUCACUCAAACUGGUGCUCCAAACUCUUCAAAAACAAGCGGAGAGACAUGAAUUUACGAUGCCACAAAUAUCAGACAGGUUGGCUGCCAUUGAGAUGCGAGGUACUGGAGAUAUUCCCAAUAGGGCUUCAAGUGCUCAGAGUGUUGAGCAUGAUGCGGAUGAUGAGGGGUAUCAUUCUAACACCUCAUUCCGAUCAAGGAAAAGCCACAGGGAAGCGAGGGAAGGCCGAGACCGACCUAGGAGAACCGAUGACAAUCUUGGUUCCAUCAAGACUAAGAUGCCUACCUUUCAUGGGAAAAAUGAUCCUGAAGCUUAUUUAGAUUGGGUUAGGAGAGUUGAGCAAGUGUUUGAAGUCCACAAUUACUCUGAAGAGAAAAAGGUGAAACUUGCAGCUAUUGAAUUUGAAGAUUAUGCAUCCAUUUGGUGGGAGCAAGUAUGUGCCACGAGGAGAAAUAGGGAACAACCAAUUGACACUUGGGCUGAAAUGAAGCAAGUGAUGAGGAAACGAUUUGUACCCUUCCAUUAUACCACGGACUUGUACAAUCGGCUCCAACGACUCACCCAAGGGUCCAGUUCGGUUGAUGAGUACCACAAACAAAUGGAGGUAGCAAUGAUAAGGGCCAAUAUACAAGAGGAUUCGGAAGCAACCAUGGCAAGAUUUCUUAAUGGAUUAAAUCCUGAAAUUCGGAAGAAGGUUGAGCUUCAAGACCAUUUUGAGCUACAACAAAUGGUGUCUUAUGCAGAGAAGGUGGAAAGGCAAGCCUUACCUAUAAAGACACCUAGUGGCCGAACCACUACAUCCUCUUCCACACCUUGGAGACGAGAUCAAUUGCCAACAUCCAAUGCUUGGCCAAGGCAAGGCAAUAAAGAAAGGGAAAACAGGCGAAUGGAGCAACCGUUCCAUCCGAGUGCAACUCCUUCUAAACCAACCCCGCGACCAACUCUUCCAAGGCCAAAUACGUCUACCAACCAGCCAAAGGCAUGUUUCAAAUGUAAGGGAAUUGGCCACCUCAUGGCUCAAUGCCCUAACCGAAGCAUCAUGUACAUGAAUGAAGAGGGAAUGUGGCAAAGCGAAGGAGAGGAGGAAUAUGCGGACAUGCCACCACUUGAAGAAGAGGGGAAGGAUGCUGACCUGGUUGAAAUAGAAGAGGACCCCGUGGCUCGAACUAUGGUGACUAUGAGAGUGCUAAAUGCACAAGCUCAAGAAGAUGAUCUCCAACGGUCCAACAUUUUUCAUACGAGAUGCAAAAUUGGAGAUGAGGUAUGUCUCAUGAUCAUUGAUAGUGGCUCUUGUACUAAUUGCGUAGCUGCUGACUUUGUCGAGCAAAAGCACCUUUCAUGGACUUACCACCCUAAACCCUAUAGACUAUCUUGGUUAAAUGAUGGGGGGGAAGUCAAGGUGACCAAACAAGCUUUAAUCGCUUUUUCUAUUGGUCGAUACAAGGACCAAGUUUUAUGUGAUGUAAUUCCUAUGCAAGCUAGUCAUGUCUUGUUAGGGCGUCCGUGGGAGUAUGAUCGGCAGGCUGAUCAUAUUGGACUCACUAAUAAGUAUAAGUUCAUUAUGGACAACCUCAAGAUCACUCUUUCACCCUUGACACCUACACAAGUGUAUGAGGAACAAUUGCAUCUAAGAAAAGAGCGAGAGAAAAGGCAACUGAGAGAGGCAAAGAAAAAGCCGAAUGUGCCUGAGGAUGAGGAAAAAAAGAAAGUAGAGGCCGAGUUGAGUGAAAAAGAAAAUUCGAGUGGAAAAAAACUUAGUGAGGCCGAGAGCUUGAAAGUGAACAAAAAGAGCUUCUAUGCAAGUGUGCGUGAGGUAGGUAGGGCUUUGAAUGCACAAAGUCUUCUCAUAGUACUUCUGUACAGGGAAGCUGAUUAUUCUUCUUUUUACACACUAGGCAUAACCGAUUCUCUUCCUAGUGCAAUCUACUCUCUUUUGCAGGAAUUCAAGGAUGUGUUUCCGGAGGAACUACCAAAAGGAUUACCUCCAAUUCGAGGUAUCGAACAUCAAAUCGACUUUGUUCCUGGAGCAAUUCUCCCAAAUCGACCAGCCUAUAGAGCAAAUCCGGAGGAAACAAAGGAAAUCCAAAGGCAAGUCGAUUCCCUCCUUGAAAAGGACCAGGUACGUGAAUCUCUUAGUCCUUGUGCAGUUCCAGUCAUUUUAGUGCCUAAGAAAGAAGGGACUUGGAGAAUGUGUACAGAUUGUCGUGCAAUUAAUAAAAUUACUGUUAAGUAUCGUCAUCCUAUUCCUAGGUUAGAUGAUAUGUUAGAAGAAUUGCAUGGGGCAAUCAUUUUCACUAAAAUUGACUUAAGAUCUGGUUAUCAUCAAAUAAGGAUAAAGGAAGGAGACGAAUGGAAAACUGCUUUCAAAACAAAGUAUGGUCUUUAUGAGUGGCUUGUGAUGCCUUUCGGCUUAACAAACGCUCCAAGUACUUUCAUGAGGUUAAUGAACCAUGUUUUAAGGCAUUUUCUUGGGAAGUUUGUUGUUGUUUAUUUUGAUGAUAUAUUGAUCUUUAGCAAGUCUUUAGAUGAACAUGUUGAGCAUUUGCGACUUGUUUUAAGUGCCUUGCGUGAAAAUAGGUUGUUUGCUAACAUGGAAAAAUGUGUCUUCUGCACUCCUGAAGUUAAUUUCCUUGGAUAUAUUGUUGGUGCAAAUGGCAUACGUGUUGAUCCCGCCAAGGUAAAAGCCAUCUUAGAGUGGCCGACUCCAACCAAUGUGUCUCAAGUAAGGUCUUUUCAUGGUCUUGCAAGUUUCUAUAGGAGAUUUGUUAAAGACUUUAGUACUAUUGCAGCACCUUUGAAUGAGACAAUUAAAAAGAAUGUGGGGUUUCAAUGGGGAAAAGAGCAAGAAGAGUCAUUUAAUAAGCUUAAGGAUUUGUUAACUUCAGCACCUAUUCUUGCUUUGCCUAAUUUUGAUGUGACGUUUGAAGUUGAAUGUGAUGCUAGUGGAUCGGCAUAGGGGCUGUCUUACAUCAAAAUAAUAGACCCUUGGAAUAUUUCAGUGAAAAGUUGAGUGGGGGAGCUCUUAAUUACCCUACUUAUGAUAAAGAAUUGUAUGCUGUUGUGCGUGCUCUUGAAGUGUGGCAGCAUUAUCUUAUGCCUAAGGAAUUUGUGAUACAUACUGAUCAUGAAUCAAUUAAAUUCCUUAAGGGUCAGGGAAAGUUGCAUAAAAGACAUGCGAAGUGGAUUGCAUUUGUUGAUUCCUUUCCGUACAUCAUUAAGUAUAAGAAGGGGAAAGAUAAUGUCGUUGCGGAUGCAUUGUCUAGGAGGUAUACUUUGAUCACUAACAUGAGCACUAAGCUACUUGGUUUUGAGCACAUUAAAAACAUGUAUGCACAUGAUGACGAUUUUUCUAAUGUGUUUCAAGCUUGUGAACAUGCUGCAUUUCAAAAGUACUAUAGGCAUGAAGGUUUCUUGUUCAAAGAAAAUCGCCUAUGUAUUCCCAAUUGUUCGCUUAGGGAAUUACUUGUUAGAGAAGCCCAUGGUGGAGGAUUGAUGGGACAUUUCGGCAUUGAUAAAACUCUUGACAUCUUGCAUGAACACUUCUAUUGGCCUAAAAUGAGGCGUGAUGUUGCUAACAUUUGUGAUAAGUGUUUAAAGUGUAAGCAGGCCAAGUCAAGGAGUAACCCUCAUGGACUAUACACUCCUCUACCCGUACCUCAUGCUCCUUGGACAGACUUAUCCAUGGAUUUUGUACUUGGUUUACCAAGAUCUUCUAGAGGUAUGGAUAGUAUCUUUGUUGUAGUGGAUAGAUUUUCUAAAAUGGCUCAUUUUAUCCCUUGUAGGAAAACAAAUGAUGUGCGCCACGUUGCUGAUUUAUUCUUCAAGGAUGUGGUUAGAUUGCAUGGAGUACCGCGUACUAUUGUAAGUGAUAGGGAUGUGAAAUUCUUAAGCUACUUCUGGAAAUCACUUUGGGGAAAGUUGGGAACGAAGUUGCUAUUUUCUACUUCUAGUCAUCCUCAAACGGAUAGUCAAACUGAGGUAACCAAUCGAACCCUUGGUGCUUUACUUCGAGCCAUUGUUCAAAAGAACUUGAAGAAGUGGGAAGAAUGUUUGCCUAUCGCUGAGUUUGCAUAUAACCGAACCACUCAUUCUACUACUAAUCAUUCUCCUUUUGAAAUUGUUUAUGGGUUUCAGCCGCUAACCCCUCUAGAUUUAUCACCUAUUCCUGUUGAUGAGUGUUUAAGCGCAGAUGGUGUCAAAAAGGCAGAUGCUGUUCGGACCUUGCAUGAGAGAAUUCGAGCUCAAAUUGAAAAGAAAAAUGAGCAAUAUGCACAACAUGCGAAUAAGGGAAGAAAGCAUGUUGUAUUCGAACCUGGUGAUUGGGUUUGGGUGCACAUGAGGAAGGAAAGGUUUCCAGCAUCUCGACGGACCAAGUUACAUCCAAGAGGCGACGGACCUUUUCAAGUCCUAGAGAGGAUCAACGACAAUGCAUACAAAUUGGGACUUCCAAGUGAGUAUGGCAUAAGCGCAUCUUUUAAUGUGUCUGACCUAUCCCCUUUUGACUUUGAUACAGACUUUGAAGAUUCGAGAACGAAUCCUUUUGAGAAGGGAGGGAAUGAUGCGGAUACGGGCGUGCAACAACUCCAACCUUGGGUCAAGGACCCUUUGAUCAACAUUGGUGGUCCGAUGACAAGAUCAAGAACCAAGAAGGUGAAGGAAGCUUUACGAGCCUUGAUCAUUCACCAUACAAGCAAGGAGCAAGCUAGGUUUGAAGAUUUGAUGGACCAUGAAGUUACUUUGUUCACUUGUACAUUUGAAGUAAAGGAGUGAUCUCAUACUUGUUAGCUUAGUUGGUAGUUGUUUUAAGACUGUCUAGUUUAGUAGUUGUUAGGUGUUGAGUAUUUUAUUACUUAUCGGGCCUUAUCGGAAAGGCUUAAAGAGCUAGCUCUUUAAGCUCUUUUAUGUGGACCGAAUCUCUUCCAGGUUUAUGUGGGCCGGAUUUUGCCCUAGUUUUAGCCUAUAAAAAGGCACCUCUUGUAAGAGUAAAAGACAGAUUAUUACAACCAGAAAUCGUGAGGAAUUUUCCUUCAAGUUCUUAAUCGAACUUACUCUUGAAUUCUUGAGUUCAUAGCUUAGGAUUCAAAUUAGACUUUAUCGAUUAGCUUGUUCCCUAAUCGUGGUGUCGCUUCAUCCAUCCUUAUUUGCUUAAGGUUGCUGAUUACCUUUGUGUGUCAGAGGUCUUGAGUUCAUGAGAACAAUCGAGUUCAAUUUCUAUUGGGAGAAAAGAUCCAACUCUGAUAAUUACAAGGUUGGGAGGUUCUAGGAGGGUCUUCCCCUAGGGUUGCCUAUAUCAGGAGUUCUACGGACUAAACCUACCCGAUUGACGGAGUGUCAAUUCGUGGAGGUUAUUGAAUGUGCAAGUGGAAUAUAGCUCCUGAGGGCUCCAGUAUCCUUGAAUUGUUUCUGGUCAUAUUUCCAGUAAAUUGUUAAUUACUAAAAUAUGAUUGCUUGACUUGUAAAUUGAGAUUGUUAUUUGAGCAAUGUGCUUGUAUGUGUGUUCUUGGCCUCACAAGCGUUUUGCUCACCCCGUAGAUUUGUUUCCUUAAAUGGACUGGAUCCGGGGAUGUAUUGGAGAAACCCUCCUGAUGUACUUUUGUUUAGGGUUUCUAUCUUCAUUUUGACUACGUCUCUUGGUUUUGGGUUGUACUUUUGUAAUUGGAGUGUAGUACUUGGGCAUGAGGUAAAUUUGGGUUUAAAGUUGUAUUUUGAACACCCGAUGUACGGGUUGGAUAAUGGUUGACCAUGGUUAGCUUGAACGCUCCCGCGUCAUUGUAUUUAUGUUGUUGUACUUAUGACUUUUAGAGUAGUAAUAAGUUUGAAUGUUUUGCGUGAGUCCUGGCGAGAGUUGGGCAGGCGUCCCGCAGAUACCCUUUGGUUCGCCUUAGGGAGAAGUGGGGGCGUCACAAAAAUGACUCAAAUGGAAGAUAAGAAGGUGAGACUUUGUCUUAGCUAAGGAACCAUAGGUGGUUGACACCAAAGCCUUCCAAGUUUUUGCUAUCUUUUCCUUGUAUUUUGGCCACAAAUUUCGGUCACAUGGCUGAAGAUGAGGGGGGGGAUAUUUUGCAAAAAAUAUCAAGGGUAUGUGGUGGUAAGGAAGUAGUGGUCAAGUGAUGGGUUCAAUCGGUAGUGAUCGAUACUCGUCGGUUUGAGCCGUUUUUUCUUAAAUCGCGUAUACUAGGGUUUUUAAAUUCUAAUCACUAACUUAUUAUUAUCACUUCUAAUCAUAUAAUAUUUCUUCAUCCAAAAGUCACUCUUACCUACCAAUUUUGAUUCUCACUCCGUACCGAAUAAUCAUACUACGAAAAAACGUGAAAACCCUAAUUCGUGCUAACUUAAAAUUGAAACGUGAAACCCUACUUCCUAGGUUCAUUUGCACUUAUUGUGGGGUGAUUGAGUAGUAAGGCUAUUAUAAAUUAAUAAUUUCCAGAUAAAAGGGUAUUUUUUUAAGAAAAACGUGAGGGUUUUACAAUUCCAUAAAUUGAAGUUAGGGUUUCGGUUGAAAUAUGAGAAAUUUGAGAAAACGGUCAGUCACAAGUGAAACUAGGGUUUUGAUUAGACUUUUAGGGUUUCUAGUCUUUUAAAACAAAACAAGGUUUUAAAUCAAACCCAAAGAAAUAAUUUUAGUUUCUUCUUUAAAACAAAAUAAUUUUUUUUAAAUAAAAAUAAACUAAAGAAACCGUAAUAUCCUCUUUGAGACUAAACAAAAGAUGAUCCCAAAAGUUGGGGUAUCACAAGUACAACUUUCUUUGAUAAGUAGUCAUUCUAAGUGAUAGUGUAUAAUAAUUGAUGGUUAUUUGCUCAGGCGCUCAAUGAGACCUUCAAGAGGAACUCGAAGUGGACGCCUAAACACUUGUUUGAGUACUUACUCACUUGUUUUGAAUAAGUGAGUGUUCCAUAUAGGAGUACGUAAUUUGAAUAAAUCUAUGACAUGCUUAUUCCAUGAUCAUUAAGUGUCAAAUACUACAUGUCAAGUAUUUACCACACUCAUGCAUAUUUAAGUAAGGUAUACUUGAAUUACUCGACAUGAAAUACUUGAAUUGCAUAUUUAUGUGAAGUGUUUAAAUGAUUAAUUAUGCUAUGGCUGCAUAAGUCGGAUGGAGUGAAUCUCCUCGACUCUUAAGUGGUAAAAGUGAGAAAUGGCCAAUGGCGGCCUAUUAAAAUGGCAAAUAUCUGCCAAUUAACCGUAAUUACUUACCGUUAACGGUAAUUACAUACCGUUUACAACCUACUUGAUUACCUACCUACGUGAUUACCUGCUUACUUGAUUACCUGACUACUUGAUUACUUGAUUACCGUAAAUUAUUUGUUCAUAUGAAAUUACCGCAUAUUGCUUACGAGUUUAUGUGUUAAAUGUUACUAAUAAUUGCUCAUAGGAAAUUAUCCACCAUGUUAAGGCGAGUGUGUACUUUAUCUCACUCGACCUACUAAGAUGAUAAAUUUUUAUCGUUCACCGAUUUAUUUGAUUACUUGUGCAUGUUGUAAGCUCUAAGCUGAACUGGAUUCUGCCCUUGGUUACUAACCUACUCGAGCCAGGACUAGGCUCGGUCGGGUUGGUUGGAACCCUAAGCCACCGUUUCGGUAUACUCGAAUACUACCACUGGAGGAGUAAGGUGAUGGCUAGACAAACCGAGGGGAUCCGGAAGUUAUAAGGUGCAGAUGACCGGCAUGGUUCCACUAGAACACCGUAUCCUUCAAUGUGUGUUUAUUUUGCAUAGAGAUAACUAUUUCAUGCAAAUGUACCAACGUGCAAAUCUUGUGUUAUACUUGUGACACGCUCAAAUUACUCGUACCAUGAUAAUUGUCUCAUGUUAGUGUGUCAUACCUGUGACACGCUCAAAUUACUCGUACCGUGAUAAUUAUCUCAUGUUAAUGUGUCAUACCUGUGACACGCUCAAAUUACUCGUACCAUAAUAAUUGUCUCAUGUUAAUGUGUCAUACCUGUGAAAUGCUCAAAUUACUCAUACCAUGAUAAUUGUCUCAUGUUAAUGUGUCAUACCUGUGACACGCUCAGAUUACUCGUACCAUGAUAAUUGUCUCAUGUUAAUGUAUCAUACAUGUGACAUGUUCAAAUUACUAGUACCAUGAUAAUUAUUUCAUGUUAAUGGUCAUGAUAAUUGUCUCAUGUUAAUGUGUCAUACCUGUGAUAUGCUCAAAGUACUCGUAUAAUGAUAAUUGUCUCACGUUCAUGAGCCAACGUGCAACCCCAAACCAUACAUGUGGUAUGCUCAAUUACUUGAUUUAUUAGAACUGCUAGAGUGUCUUGGAACCUCAUUGGGCUGUGUAGCUCAUCCCACAUUUUUGUUUUCUUUAACAGGGUUCGAGACCAAGAGUGCUCGUGAAUAGUACUAGAUAGUUUUCUUUUGAAAAUUUAAAGUUUUAUUAUAGUGGAUGGUUAUAGUACAUAUUCCUUUGGGUUGUAUUUAAGUUUGAAAGCUAAAUAAUUGUAAGUGUGAAAUAUUUUGGGGUACUUUAAUUAUGUAUUGAAGUUAUUUGAAGUAUUCCAAGUUUUUGAAUUGUGGAUUGUACCGAGUCCUGGCGAGAGUUGGGCAGGCGUCCCGGCGAUACCCUUGGAUUCGCCCUUGGGAGAAAUGGGGGCGUCACAGUUGGUAUCAGAGGUUAGGCUUCAAAUCUUUGUAGUGUAUCCUAGACUUAAAAGUUUAGGAUGCCGGACUGUGGGAUUGGUUUGAAAGUUAAGUGACCGCUUGUAAGGAUGAAAAUCAGAGCCGCUUCGCGUAGUUUGUGCGCGGGGUGAGCUUGGACCAAGUGGUGUUAUGGUCCUUAUUAUGUGAAUGAGUAAAGGCUUAAGAACUCUUCUAGAGUAUAAGCUGUGAAUCAUGAAUGUGAUAGGUAUAAACCCCUUUGUUUUGAUAUUUGAGAAAAACAUUUGGUAUGUAUGAUGGGUAGGAAUCUCAAAUGUGAUGAUUUACUCUUGGGAACUGGCCAGCUCGAGAUGUGAAUUAUCUUAUUUCAGAUUCUUGUACCCGAGUACUCAAGCGUUGAGGACAAUGCUAAGGACUUGAGAUCUCCAUUUGCGGGGAAUGAAAAUGAAUCGAUAUUUCACAUGAAUAAUUACAAGAAACCGAUAAUCGUUUGGCUAAGAUGGCACAAUAAUUAAGAGCGAGAGGUGAAGAAGAUCGUGGCCUAGAAGAUCCUUGUGUUGGGGUUAAAGUUGAACAUGUUAGGAAAUGGGGAUCAUUUAGUUCCAAUUAAUCUAGUGAAGCACUACUUGUGAUCUUUCGUAGUGGGACGAUGGGAGUAGAACUUAAGAGUUUGUGCCUUAGAGAUGGAUGCACUUUUGAUAAUCACUUGUUCAUUUUUGUUUAUUGAUUUUGACUUGGUAUGUACUUUACUUGGCUUGUUUGUGACCUCUUGAUUCGUAUUAUGACUUUUGAUAUAUGUAAAGAAUCAUGCUUCUAAUUCUAAAUGUAUUUGUAACUUGUAUAUGCUUUAAGUUCUUCUAUGCCUAAUUAUUCUUUUUCUUACGCCUAUAGACUUAUAUUAAGUAUGGCUCGGCAAGGUCAAUGAAUGGGUUGUGGUGUGGGUUUAGGCAACCCGCACUCUUGAGAAAGACUGAUAGCCGGUCUUAUGUAAUCCAAUGGGAUCUUAGUGAUAGAUAUGAAUCGGAAAUGAACGAGAAGAUAAGACCUAUCAGUGAUAUAAAAGAUUGAUCUAGUUGGGUACCUAAAGAGGUUCUCCCCUGUGCAAUUUUAAUGAUUGUUCUACCGUAUCUUGUGGUUGGUCCUGUGGACAUGUUUCAACCUUUUAUGAAUGUUUGAACUUUCGAAGUAUUUCAUUGGUUAUUUGUGAAGUGACUUGAACUCAUUACUUAUUCUGCUGUACUUAAAAAAAAACACUUUCUCUCUUAAAAACAUUUUCUAGAAUAUAUAUUUAUUCAAACGCAAUUCUUAACUCGAAACUUUGAUGAAAUUUUUGAAACAUCCUUCAAUUAUAUGUUAUUUCAUUGUAUACGCUCUUUGAUACCCAUGCAUUGAGUCGCAUGAUUAAUCUUCUUAAAUGUAUUUGAGGAAUUUGAAAUAUGUAUUAAUGACGGUGGCAAAAACAUUACCUGAAGUUUCUUACUAAGAAAACUUAGUUUCGGACCAUGAAGAAAGGUUUGUAUCUUUUAACUCUAAUUUUGAAAUUGUGAAUCGUAGUUUGCCACAUACAUAUCCGAAAUACAUAAAAAAAAAACCCCUCAUUUUUGUCUCGCAUAUUAUGAUUGACUUGAUUUGAACAAAAAUUUGAGUGAUCAUUUGGGACCAAAGAAAUCUGGUUAUUUCUAAAAUUGUUAAUUUUAGAGAUCGAAUGCCAGUAAAUGAUUUUUGGACAAAUUGAGUCGAAGAUUUUGGUAAAAUUAGUUUUCUAUUGAAAAUAUAUUUUCCUAUUCGAGUUUCGAACCACCAGAUGGAAUCAUUUAACUAGACCUUUAAUUGACCCUAGAAUUGACUGUUUUGUGAAAACCCUAUUUUCGUGAGUGGUACAAGUAAACUGUGAUUGCUGCCCUAUAGUUUGGAGAGUAGGAGUCCUAUGAACAAAUCAGUGCUUAAUUGUUGUGCAAAUUAUAGAAGCUGUGAAUUUUGGUAGAUCUAGUAGACCUGACAAAUAAGGGGUACGAUAUUAUCGUAAGUGUGAAUUACGAGGACGAAAUUCUUUUAAGGAGGGGAGGUUGUGAGGACCCGAAAUUUUCUUGUUUUAUUUUAUUUUACUGGUUUAAUUAAUUAUUUACUCACACGUUUUCUCCGAAUAUUUUAUUUCAACCUUUUAUUGCUCAAAUACAUGGAAUUAUGGAUCACAUGUAUUUUAAAAAUGACUUGAUUCCAAAAGUUAUUUUUUUGAAAACUCGUUAAAUGAGAAUAGUGAAUACGUGUUUGGAGACUAUAGCCGAUUUGAGAAUACAAUGAGCUUGAAAUAUUGGAGACUUAUACAUUAGCCUUGAAAUAGGUAUUUUUAUGUUUAAGUGCUCAAGUGAUAGUUAGUUAUACUAUCGUUAUAAGAAUUUCUUAGAGAUUUCAAUUUAUCGCGUUUAAAUCGGGAAUACACAUUUUUACGCGCGCGAUUAAUUGAGUAACUUAACACCAUUAUUUUUAGACUAUUAAGAGUGAAUAAUAAUAGUAUGAAUGAAAGUGUAUUAGAGGUUUAGGGCACUAGUGAAAUAAACUCGAGAGGAAUCGAGCACGAAACGCCCGCGCCUGUGCGCGGGAGAAAGGGUUGACUUUUGAAUUAAUUGGAGCCACACAUUUUAGCUUCUCUUGGAAGCUUCAUUAGAGCCCAAAACACACUCACUUUUGCUCCCAUUCCAGCCGUGCACUUCAAGAGAAAAAGAACCAAGUUUCUUCUUCAAUUUCUUCUUCAAAUCUUCACUAAUCCUUCACCAAAUCAUCUCAAAUUUUAACCACAUUUUGCUAAACACUUGGAGAGCACUUCAAGCUAGAAAAGGAGGCUGCUCUCACGGUUUUUCUUGAGCAAAUAAGGACCAAAAUUUCUGCCUUAAUCAUCUAAGUAAGUGAGUGAUGAUCGACCUUCAAAAUCUUAAUUUAUGGAAGUUGUAUUGCACAUAUAACCUCAUAUAUUCAUGUGGGUAGCUUUAUUUAUGUUGAAUUUUGGUGAGUGGGCUCCAUGAACUCUCACAAUUUCUUGAUGGACUGAUUUGUUGCGUUUUGAUGUUAUUAAUGUUGGAUUAGCGAUUAAUCUAGUGGAAAUAGGUUGUAUUGUUGAAGGAAAGUUCAAAGGAAGUGAAGAAGGAAUUUUUCCAUUCCUGCCCCUGUCCAUGCCAUGGCCCUUAGGGCAAUUUUUCGUGGUUCUAAUGACUUUUUUUUGAGGUAUAUAUGUAAUAUAGGUUGUGUAGAAAGUUUCAUCAAAAAAUUACGUGAUUUGGUUGGCCAAAUGUUGUGAUUUCGAAAGUUCCUUCAAAACUGGAAGUUUUCCCGUAUUGCACAGGCAGUGUUUUUCAAACAGCUAUAACUUUUUGCUCCGACGUCGAAAUCGUGUGCCGUUUGCCGCACUAGAAAGUAAACAUUCUCAGUUUUCCAAUGGUAUAAAGUGUAUGUCCAGACUCCACCUGAGUGAACCGUACCACUCAUUUGAACAUGACUAUCCUGUUUCGCUGGUUCACUGGAGUCCACGUCUUAAGCGCAACUUGAUGCUCAAAGAUAAGCUAGUUGUGGAUAGAUUUUAAAAAUGAUUUCUUCUGAGAAAUUGUAACCUUAUGAAUGGAGUUUUCAACGCCACCAACUACGCUCAAUUCCAAGUUGAAUUGAGUGAGAUAUCGCUAAAUUACAGACCUAGAUUUUUGCUUGAAAAUCCUCUUUUGGCUAGUUAAAUGGCCUAGCUUGAUUUGGGACUUGUUGUUUUGGAAAAUUUGAUGUCCAAAUCUACCAAACUUUAUAUUAGAUGUUCCUUGGAUUUUGUUUCACAAAUAAACCAGAUUUGGUUUGGUUGCAUUGGACAAAAUAUUUAAAAAGGAAAGAAGAGCUAGAAGAUAGUUUUGCCUUGGAAAAUUUCUUGAACUUUGAUGGUUUAGUUAACUACCUUCCCGUGUGAAUUUUCAAAUGAAAUUUGAUGGAGGAGUAUUCCUCAUAUGGAGGUUUAAUUGUGCAAAAUUUGGUGAUAUUCUAAGACCAUUUUGACAUGCAAAUGAUGUCCCAAAAUUGCUCUUCGAAUCUGGAAAACUUUUCCUUUUCUCUUAGCCGAAUGGCCAAUCUUGACUUGGGACUUGUUAUUUCGAAAUUUUUGGUGUUAAUCACCUAAGAAAAUGUAUUUUGAAUGUUACUUAGACAUUUUCUACACAAAUGAACCAUGUUUGAAAAUAUUUCAUUAGCCAAAUGAUUUGGAAAAGGGAAAUGGUAGCACAAGACAGCUUUGCCUUGAAAAUAUAGAAACUUUCGUGACUUUGUUAACCAACUUCCCGUACGUAUUUUUCCAUGAAAUUUGACAAAGAAAUACCCCUUAUAUGGUAAUAUAAUACUUCCAAAUUCGGUGCCAUUCCGAAUCCGUUUCAAUGUUUAACCAAAGUCCCAAAGUUUGUGAUUUGAACCUGGAAAUUGCCUAAACAUUUCGAUUUUUCAGCAACUUUGAGCUACUAUAUCUUGGUGCUCAAAACUCCGAUUCUUGUUCUGCUUGUUAUGUUUUAAACUUUGUUUGUGACUCUAAUUGAGUUCCAAAUUUCAGAGGCUGGUUCACAUUGUGUGAAUUUUACUGAAUUUCCAAACUUUACCGAAAACCAACCCCGAAACUGUCUUGCAAGCCAAAACAGCAACUUUGAGACAAAUUUUGAAUACCAUCCGUUUGGAAUCAUGGAAAAGUGUCUUCUAGAAACUUUUAGUAUUUUGGAAGUAGUUUCCAAUGGUACCAAGUUUUCCAAUUUUGGACUGAUAGAAAGUGAGAUCUGAUUUUUUAAAGUUUGCUUGCCGAAUCUGAAAUUUCCGAAUUUAAAGGAAAUUGAGGGUUUCAAGCUCUCCAUUUUCCUCCGAUAUUGCUAGACCGUUUUACACUUGAUUUCAAAGGCGAAAAUCUGAUUUCUCUUGUGCUUUUGAAACCCACUUCCGAGUCUCGAUUAUAAAUAAUUAAGGCUCAAUUCAUGAAUUCUCCUUAGAUUGUACACUGGUACAACUUUCUUUGAUACGUAGGGAUUCUAAGUGAUAGUAUAUAAUAAUUGGUGGUUAUUUACUUAGGUGCUCAAGGAGACCUUCAAGAGGAACUCGAAGUGGACGCCUAAACACUUGUUUGAGUACUUACUCACUUGUUUUGAAUAAGUGAGUGUUCCAUAUAGGAGUACAUAAUUUGAAUAAAUCCAUGACAUGCUUAUUCCAUGAUCAUUAAGUGUCAAAUGCUAUAUGUCAAGUAUUUACCACACUCAUGCAUAUUUAAGUAAGGUAUAUUUGAAUUACUCAACAUGAAAUACUUGAAUUGUAUAUUUACGUGAAGUGUUUACCAAAUUUCGAGUUUAUGUGUUAAAUGUUACUAAUAAUUGCUCAUAGAAAAUUAUCCACCAUGUUAAGGUGACUGUGUACUUUAUCUCACUCGAUCUACUAACAUGAUAAAUUUUUACCGUUCAUCGAUUUAUUUGAUUACUUGUGCAUGUUGUAAGUUCUAAACUGAGUUGGGCCCUACCCUUGGUUACUAACCUACUCGAGCCAGGACUGGGAUCGGUCAGGUAGGUUGGAACCUUGGGCCACCGUUUCGGUAUACUCGAGUACUACCACUGAAGGGAUAUAGUGAUGGCCAGACAAACCGAUGGGAUUCGAAAGUUAUAAGGUGCAGAUGACCGACAUGGUUCCACUGGAACACCGUAUCCUUCAAUAUAUGUUUAUUUUGCAUAGAGAUAACUAUUUCAUGCAAAUGUACCAACGUGCAAAUCUUGUGUCAUACCUGUGACACGCUCAAAUUACUCGUACCAUGAUAAUUGUCUCAUGUUAAUGUGUCAUACCUGUGACAUGUUCAAAUUACUCGUACCAUGAUAAUUGUCUCAUGUUAAUGUGUCAUACCUGUGACACGCUCAAAUUACUCGUACCAUGAUAGUUGUCUCAUGUUAAUGUGUCAUACCUGUGACAUGUUCAAAUUACUCGUACCAUGAUAAUUGUCUCAUGUUAAUGUGUCAUACUUGUGACACGCUCAAAUUACUCGUACCAUGAUAAUUAUCUCAUGUUAAUGUGUCAUACCUGUGACACGCUCAAAUUACUCGUACGAUGAUAAUUGUCUCAAAUUACUCGUACCAUGAUAUUGUCUCAUGUUAAUGUAUCAUACCUGUGACAUGUUCAAAUUACUCGUACCAUGAUAAUUGUUUCAUGUUAAUGUGUCAUACCUUUGACAUGUUCAAAUUACUCGUAUCAUGAUAAUUGUCUAAUGUUAAUGUGUCAUACCUGUGAUAUGCUCAAAGUGCUCGUAUAAUGAUAAUUGUCUCAUGUUCGUGAACCGACGUGCAAUCCGAACCAUACAUGUGGUAUGCUCAAUUACUUGAUUUAUUAGAACUGCUAGAGUGUUUUGGAACCUCACUAGGCUGUGUAGCUCAUCCCACGUUUUUAUUUUCUUUAACAGGGUUCGAGACCAAGAGUGCUCGUGAAUUGUACUAGAUAGUUUUCUUUUGAAAAUUUAAUAUUGUAUUAUAGUGGAUGGUUAUAGUACAUAUUCCUUUGGGUUGUACUUAAGCUUGAAACCUAAAUAAUUGUAAGUGUGAAAUAUUUUGGAGUAUUUUAAUUAUGUAUUGAAGUUAUUUGAAGUAUUCCGAGUUUUUGAAUUGUGGAUUGUACAGAGUCCUGGUGACAGUUGGACAGGCGUCCCGCCGAUACCCUUGGGAGAAGUGGGGGCGUCACACUAGCUCAUGUAGUGGAGCACCAGGGUUAAAACCCUCAACCUCAACCUGUAAACGCUAAUCCUGGCAACCACGUUGAGAGCGAGGAUAGAGCUCUCGAAAGGUUUCAGAAGUUUUUCCCACCCAAGUUUAUCUGCGGGCCAGAUCCUCAUGAGGCCGAGAGAUGGUUGGUAAAGAUGGUGGACAUCUUUGCUGCAUUACAUUAUACGGAGGAGAGGCAGGUGAUUUUCGUUGUCUUUCAACUGGAAGAGACGGCCCGUUCUUGGUGAAACGUCAUACGGUAAAAGUGGGAACGGGAACAAAUACCAAGGACGUGGGUAAAUUUCACGAGGGAAUUCAGCGCCAAAUUUUUUCCUCCUUUGGUUCAGGAAAGGAAAGAAGACGAGUUUAUUCGGUUUCACCAGGGGGCUCAGGCCGUAGCUGAGUACGAAAGCCAAUUCACUUGCCUAUCCAAAUUUGCCCUCGAGCUAAUCAUGAUCAAACAACGAAGGAUAAGGCGCUUUGUUCAGGGCCUGAACGUGAAAAUUCAGAAGAAUCUCGCGGUGGCCCAAAUUAAUGUUUUUAGUGAGGCCGUGGAGAAGGGUCAACGGGUGGAAAGCGCCAGGCUUCAAGUGAGGAACUUUCAAGCUAAAAAAUGAGGAUUUCCUGGUAGUAGUUCAGGGUGGAGGGAUAAGAGUAUCCCUCCCAAGUUUGGACGGGGAGCCGAAGGUGGAAGGCAGCCGGGAGUAUCGAGAGGGGCUCAGUCAAGAGGUGGCCAAGUUGGGCGAGGCCAAAGAGGAAAUUUCCAGGGGGGUUCAGCUUCAGCAUCCCGCGGUCCUUGUGGACAUUGUGGGAAACCAAACCACACAAAGGACAAUUGCUGGAGGAAGGAAGGAAAAUGUUUACGCUAUGGGAAUGCAGACCACCAACUUGCCACUUGUCCGGUUCUAAAACGAGAUGGAAGGGGGAGCCAACAACCGCCGAGGACCAAUUCUGGAUCGGUUAAGAGGGAAGGGACUAAACCCAAGGUAUCGGCUCGAGUGUACUCACUCGAGUCACAACAGGUCCCUGACUCUUCCGAAGUUGUAAAAGGUACGAUCCCUAUAUUCCACCGAUUUGCAAAGGUUUUAGUAGAUCCAGGUGCCAUCCAUCCUUUGUUAACCCCAAUUUCAUGUGUGGUAUUGAUAUAAAACCUGCUAGUUUACCUUAUGACCUAGAAGUCAGUACCCCUACGGGGGAUCAUCGUUUGAUUACUAGUAUGGUUUAUAAGGAUUGCGAAAUUUGGGUAGGAGAAAGGAAAUUGUUAGGGAAUUUGAUAAACCUGUCUAUUAAGGGACAUGAUGUAAUCUUGGGCAUAGACUAAUUAGCCAGGUAUAAUGUCCAACUUGAUUGUAAGAAGAAGGUGGUAGAAUUCCGCAUUCCUGGGAAGGCUACUUUGAGGCUUGAUAUAAGGAGUAGGUUGGCCUCAUCUGCCUUGAUCUCGAGCAUUCGGGCUAGAAAACUGCUAAGUAGAGGGGCGCAAGGGUUCUUAACCUUUCUAAUCAAUACCUCCACCGAUAAAUUGAAGGUAGAGGAUGUGCACAUAGUAAAGAAAUAUCCAGAUGUAUUUCCUGAUGAGUUAGUAGCUCUAUCUCCAGAGAGAGAGAUAGAAUUUAAAAUUGAUUUGUUACCGGGGACGUCACCUAUCUCUAAAACCCCAUACCGAAUGGCACCUGCUGAGUUUAAGGAGUUGAAAUUGUAGUUACAAGACCUUUUGGAGCGGGGUUUCAUUCGAGAAAGUGGGUCUCCUUGGGGAGCCCCUGUGUUGUUUGUGAAGAAAAAGGACGGGAGUCUACGGAUCUGUAUAGGCUAUCGGGGGCUGAAUAAUGUAACGGUUAAAAAUAAAUAUCCACUGCCCCAUAUUGACGAGUUGUUUGACCAGUUGCAAUGAGCAGUGGUCUUCUCAAAACUAGAUUUUCGCCAGGGGUAUUACCAAUUGUUGAUUAGGAAGGAGGAUAUACCAAAAACUGCUUUCAAUUCAAGAUAUGGGCACUAUGAAUUUGCAGUCAUGCCCUUUGGACUGACCAAUGUCCCUGCUGCCUUCAUGGAUCUGAUGCAUAGGAUUUUUAAGUCCUAUCUAGAUCGAUUUGUAGUUGUCUUUAUUGAUGACAUUCUGGUCUACUCAAAGACUCGGGAGGAACAUGAACAGCACUUAAGAAUCGUUUUACAAACCCUAAGAGAGCAUCAGUUGUACACCAAGUUUAGUAAGUGCGAGUUGUCACUGGAGAAAAUUUCUUUCUUAGGGCACGUAAUUUUCCAAGAGGGUAUCUCGGUUGACCCAGCGAAAGUAGAGGCCGUGACUGAUUGGAAGAGGCCAAAAAAUCCCACUGAGAUUCGUAGUUUUCUAGGGUUGGCUGGAUACUAUAGGCAUUUCAUUAAAGACUUUUCCAAACUGCCCGGUCCUUUAACCAACUUGACGAAGAAACAUGGUCAUUUCAUAUGGGAUGCUAGGUGUGAUGCGAGUUUUCAAGAGUUAAAGAAAAGAUUAACCAUGGCACCGAUUUUAGCUUUACCUAACGGAAUAGACGGUUUUACCGUUUAUGCUGACGCUUCACGGGAAGGUUUGGGAUGUGUGCUGAUGCAAAACCAGAACGUGAUAUCUUUUGCCUCUAGAAAGUUGAAACCCCAUGAGCAGAACUAUCCAACCCACGACCUGAAGUUAGCUGCGGUUGUUUUCGCUCUGAAAAAGUGGAGGCACUAUCUAUACGGGGUAACUUUUGAGAUUUACUCAGACUAUAAGAGCCUUAGAUAUCUCUUCUCACAGAAGGAAUUGAACAUGAGGCAGCGACGGUGGAUGGAAUUUCUGGAGGAUUACGACUGCACUAUCAACUAUCAUCCAGGGAAAGCUAACGUGGUGGCGGAUGCCUUAAGUCGGAAGGCUCGAGUGGCAGGGUUAAUGAUUAAGGAGUGGGAUCUAUUAGAAUCAGUUUGUAAGUGAAAACCCUAUCUUGGAAGUUAUAAGGUGAUUUUUGGUAAUGUUAAGGUAACAUCCACACUACUGGAGUGAAUUAAAGAAGCUCAGAAGGAAGAUGCUAUGGUACGGAAGUGGGGAGAGAAAGUGGAAAAAGGAGAAUUGGCUGAUUUCAAGUUUAGUCCCGAGGGAGUUUUGAAAUACCGAAACCGAGUGGUGGUGCCCAAAGAUGAAAUGUUAAAGAAUGAGAUCUUAGAGGAAGCUCAUCGGUCCAAGUAUACGAUCCAUCCGGGUAGUAGCAAGAUGUACCAGGACCUAAAAGGAGUCUAUUGGUAGGACAACAUGAAGAAGAAAAUUGCUCAAUACGUACGAAAAUGUCUCAUCUGUCAACAAGUUAAGGCGGAACAUAAAAAAUCAUCUGGCUUGUUACAACCUCUCGAGAUACCCGAAUGGAAGUGGGAAAACAUUAAAAUGGACUUCGUUUCGGGUUUGCCACGAACGCAACGAGGACAUGAUGCCGUUUGGGUGAUCGUCGAUCGGUUAACCAAAUCGGCCCAUUUCUUGCCGGUAAACAUGAAAUAUUUCAUGGAUAAAUUGACUCAGGUGUACAUGGACGAGAUCGUAAGACUACUUGGAGUUCCUGUGAGUAUCGUUUCGGAUAGAGAUCCCCGCUUUGUAUCUAGGUUUUGGCAGAAAUUCCAAGAGACUUUGGGGACUAAACUCAACCUAAAUACCACUUAUCAUCCCCAAACGAAUGGACAGUCGAAGCGAACAAUUCAAACUCUCGAGGAUAUGUUAAGGACCUAUAUUCUGGAUUUUGGGGGCAACUGGGGUCAACAUAUGACCUUAGUAGAGUUUGCUUACAAUAACAGUUACCAUUCGUCAAUUCAAAUGGCCCCAUACGAAGCGCUUUAUGGGAGGAAGUGUCGGUCACCGAUCUAUUGGGAUGAAGUCGGCGAGAGGAAGGUGCUAGAUCCAACAACUAUUCCAUGGAUGGAGGAUACACGAGAAAAAGUCAAGUUGAUACGACAAAGACUCCAAACAGCUCAAAGCCGACAAAAGAGCUACGCGAACAAUCGAAGAAAAGAUCUAGAGUUCGAAGUUGGGGACCGUGUUUUUCUUAAGGUUACCCCGUUACGAAGUGUCACGGUGGGUAGAGGAAAGAAACUUCAACCGAGGUUCGUCGGACCUUUCAAGAUUCUUCAAAGAGUUGGUAAAGUAGCGCAUCGACUUGAACUACCAUCAAGUCUAUCCAGAAUUCACGACGUCUUCCACGUCUCGAUACUUAAGAAGUAUUAUCCCGACUCGUCUCACAUCUUACAACCGGAGGAAGUUGAGAUAGAUGAGUCACUCACCUACGAAGAGAAACCUGUACAGUUGCUUGACCGAAAGAUUAAGGAGCUGAGAAACAAACAAAUUCCUUUGGUGAAGAUCUUGUGGAGAAAUCAUGGGAUAGAAGAGGCUACCUGGGAGGUGGAAGAAGAAAUGCAAAAGAAAUACCCCGAACUGUUUGUGAAUCCAGAUGAGAAAUUUCGAGAACGAAAUUCUUUUAAGGGGGAGAAAGUGUGAGAACCCGAAAAUUUUCUUGUUUUCUAGGUUUUAUUUUAUUUAAUUGCACGCCUUUCAAUAUUUUCUUUAUUAGAAAAAUUUUCUCGAUAAUUUUUAUGAGUAAAUAUAAUUUUUAAAUCAUUUUUCUAGUAUAAGUUAGUUCAUGAGAUUUUAGGAGUGUAUAUUGGACGUGGGACCCGCUAGUGCGGUACUGUGACAGCCUCACCUUACCCUAAGGCGAACCAAAGGGGUCGGCGGACUGCCUGCCCAGCUCUCGCCGGGACUCAAUCAUACCUCCAUCAAAAUCGGAAUAAAACUACAAGAAUCAAGACGAAAUGGAAGGGCCGCCGCCUCGCAGGAUCUAACCAAGUACAUGUACACUUUGUUUGCCAUGAAAGAAUGUACAUUUCCGAAUAUAUAAAUCACAUAAACAUGAGGAAACAUUUUAAAUAUACAUAUUAGUAAGUUUACAAAUCCAAAAGGAAACAUUGUAUUAAGAUACAUUUAGGGUUUCCAAGUUGUCGAGGAGCUAUACCAAGAGAACAAAAGACUUUCUAACUAACUCAACUCAUUUCUCAAAACAUUGCAGUUUCAAAAGAUGGUUCCCUGUAAGGAAAAUAAGGAUAAUGGAACGGGGUGAGCUGAAAGCUCAAUGAGGUACCAACAGUAUAAAUAGUAGAAUUCAUAAGAAAGCACUUAGAGGCAUAUAUUCACAUCAAAUACGAGGAAAGAAUGAACAUCACAGUGUAAAGGAUACAGGUGGCUCUCAGGAGCCAAAUCCCCGUUGCCAUACUUGAUCCAGCCUCGUUGACCCUCCGUCAACGUUCAAAUAAAGGAACUAGUCCAGUAGAACACCACUUUAACUCCAAAACCCCGUUCACCAAACAUACUCCUUACCGGGCCUGAACGCCAAACAGGAACAGGAAUGGUAAUACUCGAGUAUACCGGAAUCAAGAGUCUCAAUACCCAAAGAUUCUCCCAAGAACAGGUACCCAUGGAUUGUCAAUUAUCUCGACCAAGCCCUCGCUGGCUCGAUUUAAUUAACUCCCCAUGAGGUUGAACUCAGGUUUAACAGGAAGGUCGUUGGAUACACUUCCAAACGACAUCAUAACAAGUGCAAGUAACAAGUUCAAGUACAUAACAAGUACAAGUAAUAGAUUCCAGUUCAUUCAUUACAAGCAAGAGAACGAGUGUGAUAAAGUACACCCUCGUCUCAUACAAGAUAAACAGUCAGGAAAGACAUUCAAGUAGCAAUUUGCAAGUACAGAAAACCAGUUUAGCAAUAAUUCAGGAGAGUGGUACACUCACCUGAUCAAACAAGGAUAAUUUCAAAAGUUUCCUUCCCAAGUACGGCUUUACUCGCCGGCACCUCCUAGAACAAUCAAGGCAAACACUUAAAAUUGGACUCCAAGACCUAAUAAAUGGAAUUCGCAAGUAAAGCUCGAUUACAAGUCGGGUGCCUAUCCAAAUAAACCAUUAAUGUAAAGCGAAGAGGUGACUUUGGAGUGAAAAGAUAACAAUUAGUCCUAAAGGCAUGAACAACCUCAAAACUCUACCUAUAAUGAUUGACCAACUCCAAAUUUGAAGUAGAAAAUGAAAGUAAGGUCAAUACUAGGAAAACAGGAUUUUCCAGUUUCGCGCAACCCUAUAUGAAAAAUCAUAUCUCAAGUUUUGUAAGUCCAAAAUUAAUAAAAGUUAUACCAUGGGAAAA
rnacentral:lncRNA from 1 species